UUUCCAUAGCUUAUAAAAAAGGGAAUUUUUUUCUAAAAGGCUCAUUCUCUCAUGAUUUCUGAAAAAAAAAAAGGGGAGGGGGUUUCUCUCUAGGGCUUCCUUCUCUGGCGAUCGGACCACCGUCGGUGGUGGCCAGGGAGGCACCCGAAGCUUAAUCUAGGCCUCUUUUCUCGCUUAGAAAUAGGCUUAAGACCUAGAAACCCCUGAACCAACCCCGAAACCCUUAAAACAACAAAGAACUUCCGACCAUUGGUCUUCUCCGCCGUGACUUCAAGCGGAUCCCCAAGGAUCCGACAAUUUUUGGACUAGAGAAGCAAGCACCGAGGCCACCAACACCAAAUACGGGUAAGAUCUUCCCCUUUUAUUUCUUUUGUGCAAGGAUUCGAAUGUAAAAAAAAUAAAAAUAAAGGGGAAUAAUAAUAGCGGUGAUGAAUAAAUGGACCACCUUUUCUUUGAUUCUCUGCUUUCGAUUGUGGUGUAUGCGCGUAAAAAAAUACAUUGUUUUGGUUUCGGGCUUUUAUUUCCGAAAAAUAAUACAUAUCUUAAUUCUUUUAUUUCAUUUUCUUUGCGUGUUACUUAUGUUCUAUCUAUUUUCUCCAUUUUUGCAUGUUUGCAGGUUUAUGAGGGAAGUCAACGGGCAAAGGCUCCCAUUUUGGUGCAAAGGGACAAAAGGAGACGAGCCCGGGCGUUGGACAUGCCGACGAGGCACGUGAGGUGUGCGGCGCUAGGGGGAAACUAGGGUUUCCAGGUCUGCCGAAAUUGGCUUGGGUUUUGGGCCAUCGGGCUAUCAAAAAUUGGGUUUUUCGGGUUUGGUUUUAAUUGUAAAAUGGGUUAAAUGUGAUUUGGGCUAUCCGGGCUUUUGUAAAUGGAUUGUAAUAAUUUUGGACUUGUUAAUUUUUGGGUUUUAUUAUUACUGUUGGGUUUUCUAACGGGCCGGGCAAAUUUGGGCCCGUACAGUAUUUGAUUGCUGCUAUAAUAUUUUUUUAUGUAAAAUAAACAAAAGAAUUUAACGAAAUUAUCUAGAAAUAUUAUGCGGACAUGUUGUAAACAACUGGAGUCCUACAUUCCUAUCAAAAGUUAGUUUAGUGAUACCAUUUACUUCUAUAUCAUCUUAUCUAGGAAUAUGUUCGAACUCCCCAAAGACUUAUUUCCAAUAGAAGUUUAUGAAUGCGUAUGAUUAGAGCUGAAUGUAAUGUCUUUGAAGAUGUUUCUUGAAUUUCCUGAAUAGCCUCUAAGUUGUUUGUCCGAAUCAAAACUUUAUCGUACAUUCUGCUUUGAAGAAGAGACAGGCUGGUCAUCUAAAAUACCCCAAAGCUCAGUAUUAAAGACUGAUAAUACCGCUGUAGCAGCAUCACCGAAGUCAACCUUAAUAGCUCCAUCUGAUAUCAAUGGAUCCAAUUUUCAAUUUUGCUUGGAUUUGUGUGUGGCUUCGACUUUCUGGUAUGAUCUUAAUUGUGCAUGGAUUUGCACUGUAAAGCCCAACUGUACGAGCAUUUAUUUAUAUCAUCUACACUCCACGACAAUUCCUAAAAAAUGAAAUGUUUCUAUUUUUCCAGAUUCUCUAAGCUACUAACCCAAAGAAGUACCGCCAGUGAAUCUCUCUAAUAAAAAUAGUUCGACGAUUUCUCAAAUUAAAUUCAAGCCAAUUCUGUAAAUCUCCUGAAAAAGAACUAUACUUGUUUGUCAAUAGAAAUAACCUGUGACCAAAUACCUUUAGCCACAACGAUUCCUGAUAGCAUGUAAAAGAUCCUCUACGCAAAGCCCACAAACCGUUCUUUUCUGCAAUAAUAUUUUGGUUUGCAUUAUUGCAUACUUUAUUAAAGUAAAUUAAUGAUGUUUAAAUAUUAUAUAAUUACAUUUAUUAAAUUUAUUCUAAAUUCUUUACUAAUCUUUUUAAUUAAUUAAUAAUUACAAAUGACAUUUUUUUAUACCGGCAAAUGAAAGAAUGUUUCUUUAUAAUAAAACAUCAAAUUGCUAUAGUGUAUAUAUAUAUAUAUGAUAUCCAACUUAUAAAUCAUAAUAUACAUGAUAUUCCUUAGAAUAAACAAUUCCUUACAUAGUAAGAGUCAUGAAAACCAAGAUCAAACUUCAUUUUCAGAUGAUGUUUGAGUCACUUCCAAUUUUAAGAAAAAAAACCAGCAAUGUUAAAUUAUCUUUAAUUGACCCAAUUCUGCCGGAGCCAAGUUUCAAGAAAGAAAAAAAACAGAAACAUCUUAUGUCUGAAAAUUAAUCUUUUGUUUCAAUAUGCCCUGAUUUAAGCAAAGGAAGAUGAAUUAUAUUACUUCUUUUAUGCAGGCCUGCUGAUUCACUAAGUAAUUAAAAUUGAUUCGGUUGUUUCUAUAUGUACUGUCAGCUAUGGCAUAAAUUAAAGAAAACUAAUUAAAAUAAGCAAAAAUCAUAGACUGGUUCAAUGACUAGAACCUAUAAAUGGCGAUUCAUCCAUGCAGAGCCUCUCAUGCCCAAGAAAGAAAUAGAAGCUAACUCUACCAAAUACAAAAAAUGGAAGCCCUUCAGAUUAUAGUAGCCAUUUUCAUCUUGGCUCUUGCAUCGUCUUUGACCUUUGCCUCUGAUCCUAGCCCUCUUCAGGACUUUUGUGUAGCCAUUAAUGAUCCCAAGGGCUCUGGUAUGUCUUCUCUUCAAAUACUUUCGUUUUUCUUAAGAUAUUUGUGUCUGUAAUGUAUAUCCGGACAUGAAUGGGAUAUCAAUCAUAAGACCGUUGACACUCAUAUCUAUCACAUCCAUGUCCAACAUAUGCUGAUAUUCGGCAUUUAUACUCAAGUGUUAGUAACAUGAAAUCAUCGACCGACAUUUCUUGCUUUCAUGCAGUGUUUGUCAACGGAAAAUUCUGCAAAGACGCAAAGCUUGCCAAAGCAGAUGAAUUCUACUUUUCAGGUCUCCAUAUCCGCAAAAACACAUCCAACAUAUUUGGAUCAACUGUCACACCUGUCAAUGUUGCACAGAUGCCAGGACUUCACACAUUGGGGAUAUCUAUGGUUCGAAUUGACUAUGCACCUAACGGUGGUCUGAACCCUCCUCACACUCACCCUCGUGCCUCAGAGAUUCUAGUUGUUCUGGAAGGCACACUCCAUGUCGGUUUCGUUACAUCGAAUCCAGAUAAUCGUUUGAUUUCUAAAGUCCUAUAUCCCGGAGAUGUCUUUGUUUUUCCUGUGGGUCUCAUUCACUUUCAGUACAACAUAGGGAACACCUACGCUGUCGCCUUUGCUGGUCUUAGCAGUGAAAAUCCAGGGGUGAUCACUAUCGCAAAUGCAGUAUUUGGCUCAAACCCUUCCAUUAAUGCUGAUAUUCUUGCCAAGGCUUUUAAUCUGGAUAGGAAAAUGGUGAAGAAUCUUCAAUCCGAAUUCUAAUGGGAUAACAAUAGGAGAAAUGUUGAAUGAUGUUUGAAGUGGUCAUUUGUUAUUUAUGGUAACAUUAAAUUUUAUUUUAUUUUCUGAAAUAUAAAAUAAAAGAUGUUCUUUGGGGGGCCUCUUCUUAUGCAAACAUGUUUAGCAUAUUAUAAAAUUGAAAGUUGUUUUUAAUUUAAAUCCAUAAAAUAAUUUAGAUUUCACUUAAACAUGAAAACAUCUUUUUUUAUUAACCAUUGAAAUUCAAAUAUUAUUCAAAAUUUGUAAUAAUUGAAUUUGGAAAAGAUAAAUUAUAUUUGUGUAUAUAUAAAUAUUUCAAUUGUCAUCUAUCUAAAACUAUUUUUAUGUAUAUAGCUAGGGAUGAUGUACAUACAACCUGUUGAAGUAAUUAUAAAUUUAUAUAUAAGAUAAUUCAAGUUAAUUUGGACGGAAUAAUAUCAUGCUAUUCAUAAUCUAUGAUAUAUGUAUAUAUACACGACUUGGGUAUUUAUUUUUUAUUAGUUUGGCUCCUUGUUUUCAUUUUGUAAUUUUUAUUAUCCAAAUAUAAAUUUCUGUUAAAAAAUGUUAAGCCAUACCACAUAUCAAGAAAAAGUUAAAAACAUACUUCAAAUUUUUUUUAAAAAUAAAAAAUAGACAUGAGAAAUUAAAAGAAAAUCAUUAAGAAAACCAAAAAAAUCUUAAGAGUUAAAAAAUUAUAAAAAAAACCUAAAAAUUUCUUAAUCUAUUUUUGAAAAUUAUAAAAGAAAUAUUUUAAAAAAUUAUAAGUAUGCUAACCUUAAAAAUAUUUAAAAAAAUCAUUUUAUUCUAUAAACUUUUUUUUAUAGAAAUUGUUCUAAACUGCUUCAUUUAUUUCCUCGGAUUUAAAUGCAAAUAAUCAUUGGGAUUUAAAUUGCUCUUUUGCUGCAGCAGAUGACAUAUAUAUAUAUAUCAAAUAAUUUACCCAAGUUAGUUCGUUUGGGACCUUCCAUCUGGUUAAAUUCAAAGUAGCAGUUAACCAGAGCCACUUGAUAUAUACCUUCAAAACCCAACCAUUCAACCAGCCAAAUUUUGCGUCAAGAAAAAAUGUUUAUUAUUAUAAUUAUAAAUGAGGUCAGAGUUUUGAAAUAGAAAAACAGUUGCAGAUUCGAAACCAGUUUCUUCUCUUCUUAGAACUGGAUUUCUAGCAGAAACAAGUGUAUUCAAUGGACACUAUUUUCAUAUUAGGAACCUAAUAUCAGUGUCUUCAACAUUAACUGGACACCAUCCUAACCCACAAAUGGUCUUCCAAAUAUCUCUACUCUUUCGUUUCGUUUUACUUUCUUGCCACCUAAAACCCAAACUGGACACCAUCCUAACCCACCUGAAAUUGGGCUUAUUUAUAGCCCCCGAAACGGCGUCGUUUUGGAGGCUGUACUUAAGCCCCAACAUGACGCCGUUUUGAACAUGACCCGAACCGUUCGACCCGACCCGUCUCAAGAUCUGCGUGUUUUUGUUUGAAUGGGCUAUUUAUGUGCGCAGUCCUUCCUAUUUUCUGGGGCUUUACAAUCAAGUUUUCUUAUUUUCAAUUUGGUCCCAUAAUUUUCAGUAUUUUUCAAUUGGGUCCCCCAUACUGCGCAAUGUUUUGACUAAGGGAUUUAUUGCGCUUUUGACCCUCCAAAUUACGCGCAUGUUAUAAUUUCAUCCUUUUCUUUAGUUUUUAUUUUAAAUUGGCCCCAAAAUUUAGUUUUUAAUUCAAUUUCAUCCUUUUUAACCUUUUUUCGUUACUCUACUUUAAUUUUAUUAUUAUUAUUAUUAUUAUUAUUAUUAUUAUUAUUAUUAUUAUUAUUAUUACUACUUCUAAUGUGCCCAUAUUAUGUAUUGUACCAUGUGUAUAUAUUUAUAUUUAUAUGUUACGUACUUUUAAUAUUAUAUUUAUAUAUAUUAUUAGGUAUAUUUUUAAUAUAUAUGUAUUUUGUGAAGUAUUAUCAAUAGUUUUUUUAUUAUUAGUUUCAAAAUGUAUAUAUUGUGUUUAUAUUUUAAUACUACGCUAUAUAUAUUUUUGUAUUAUUAUAUAUAUUUUUAAAUAUUAUAUAUUGAGUAUUUCUAACGUUAUUACUAUAUAUAUACGUACGUAUUUUUAUCGCAUAAAUAUUUUUAUUUAUCACUUCUAAUGUAUAUAUAUAGCAUAUGUUUUAUAUCGUAUAUUUCCCUUUUUUUUAUUAGUUAUGUUUUUUAUUAUUUCAUGUACAUAUCUUUAUAUCAUCUUUAUUAUUAUUAAUCUUAAUACAUGUUUUAUAUAUGUAUAUAUUAUGUAUAUUUUAAUAUUAUAUUAUAUGUACGUACUCAUAUUAUAGUGUUUUUAGUUACAUAUUUUUGUACUAUAUUAUUUUAUUAUUUUGCUAUUAUUAGUAUUAGUUUUAGUUUCAAUAAAUAUUCUAAUUGUAUAUACAUAUAUACUUUAGUAUCAUAGUUGUAUACUUUUAUACGGUCUUAUAUACAUAUAUUUACACGCAUAUUUUCUUUUAUAUACAUUUUUAAUACCAUAUAUGUAUAUGCGUUUUACUAUAUUAGUUAGUCUUUUUCCCUAUUUUAUAUAUACAUUUUAAAUACUAUGUAUAGUAUAUUUAUGACUCUAUUACUAUAUAUAUUUUUUAUACACACUUUUAAUAUUAUUAUUAUGUAUAUAUAUUCGUUGUUUUUAUUUCAUGUUUAAUAUUAUCAUUAUUUACGUUUAAUAUCGCAUGCAUGAUUAUUAUUUUUAAUAUUAUUAUCAUAUUUACUAUUUGUUUUAAUAUAUGCCUGGCACUUUUAUUUAUUUCUAUUUUAUAUCAAUUUGCUUUGUAUUAUUUCGAAAAUCUUAUUCUUGUUUUCCGAUUAAUUUCAAUGCAUAAGGCAACAUAUUGGUUUAACACCAAGUCGUCAAUUUCAUCGCUAUGUUGGGUGAACAUCAAUCAACUUGUGUUAAAUCGGUAUAUCCUUCUCAAAAAAAAAUCAAAAAGAUUGAAAAUUCUUGUCUUUUCAAACGGAUCACGAUUAAAUCCUAUAUUGAACUCGUAUCUUUGAAAAUCAAGACUACACGUGUUUAUAAGAUACCAAUUUUGGGCGUCGCGAGGGUGCUAAUACCUUCCUCGCGUGUAACCGACUCCCGAACCCUAAUUUUUUCUUUGGAUUUUAACGUAGACCUAAACUCAGCGUUUUAUUUGUUUUAAUAAGAGAUCUAAUAGGUGUCUGAUCACACCUAGGAAAAAGGAUCGGUGGGGACUCCCUGUUUAUUUCAAAAAUCAAACGUCAAAUUUCAAACUUUUUUUCAAUAAAUCGCCACAAUUAGUGACCAAGCUAAGCUAAAAUUUUUACGUCGAUACAGCUGGCGACUCCACUGGGGAACAUUUUUGAGAGUCAGUUGAAUUAAACGCGUGUUGUCAAAAUUUUCAAAGUUCCGUGUUCAAAUUAAUAUUUAAUCAUGAUCCUUAAGUUUUGUUUUCGAAAAAAUCAUACAUACAUAUCUCCUAAUUUGUUUUAUCUUUCGUUUUUCAGCUUUAAGUUUUAUGGUUUUAGUUUUGUAGUUUUAAAAUAAAUGAAAGGUUUGCAAGUUUCUCCCCACGCACCGUGCACAUACAUUUUUGUUGCAUAACAUGAGCUCUAUACCCGGGCUCCGUCCAUGUUAAGUGAAAGUAAACGCUACGCCUUCGUGAGUUAACUCGUUUCUCCGCACAGGCUAGUGAAUACUUUAGGGUUACAUAUGACUUAUGCUUUCGUGAGUUAACUUGUCCCUCCGCAUAGGCAUAAGUAAAUGUAAUCCCUCGAAUUGAUCUCGUAAGCCUAUGAUGGGCCAUGACCGAGGCUCUGUACUAAUCUUAGUAGAUGACAGUAUAGACGAUUCGAGUACCCAUCUAAAACCAAAACCGCAUAUAGUGAACCAUACGAGCCAUCCAACUAGAGCCAUGCCAAACCUCCGCCUGUUUACUUGUCACCGAAAUAAGUACACGGGAAAAACACAUCUUACCUUCUGUUUCUUUUACAUUUACGCUUUCUAUGCAAGGGAAUCGAGUCCAUUGGACCAAGUAGCUUAAUUUAUUAGAUUGCCUACAGUUUUUCUCUGUUCAUAUGUGUUGUGCUAACCAAGUUUGUUUGUUUUUAUUCUUAUUUUACAUCAUGCAUUAUAGGCAUCAUAUUAGGAAGGUGUUGACUAGAGAUCGGUUUCCAAAAAACGGGUUUCUAAUGGAAGAGUCAAUUAUACAAACAACCGAGAGAAAUGCCGCGGGACGAGACUGGUCUCUAAAGACUCAGAAAGAAAUAGGGGAUAGUCUAGUGGAGGGAUGUAUUGCCAAUUUGCCCGAGCAUGUAACUGUAAAUGUUUGCCAGAAUAACUUUGAAGAUUUGGCUCGGGUUUGGAAUCAAUGGGACUCAGAUGCUAGAGGUAUCUUCACCAAGAGAUAUGGAGACAUAGCUAAUUUGAUUGCUGUCAACGUAGACGAACGAUUGAUCCAAGCCAUAGUCAGAUUUUGGGAUCCGGCUUACGCAUGUUUUAUCUUCAACCAUGAAGAUAUGACUCCGACUAUAGAGGAGUACGCUGCUUUGCUUCGUGUCGAUAAUGUACAACCCUAUAAGAUAUAUGUGAAGGAGCCUAAGCCAAUGACCUUCAAGAAAAAGUUAGUAAGAUUGACAGACAUGACUGACGCGUGGGCCGAAAAAUAGAUAAAGAAGAAGAAUGAAACCAUUUGUAUUCCAUGGUCUUCCCUACGAGACUUGAUUCUGAACCAUCCCGACAUGUUGAAAAGGGUAAAUCUGUUCGCUCUGGCCAUUUACGGUUUGAUCAUCUUCCCGAAGGUCCUUGGACACAUAGAAGUUGCGAUGGUAGAUUUCUUCGAAAGAUUAAAACAAGGAAUCAACCCCGUCCCAACUAUCCUGACCGAAACCUUCAGAUCACUAAGUAGCUGUAAAAAGAAAGGGAAAGGCCGUUUUAUCGGAUGCGCGCAGCUACUCAAUGUUUGGAUUCUAAGCCACUUCUGGAAAGUAGAGCGCACACUGUUCCAUAUGUUUUCUAAAAUAUUCUUCCCGUUAGAAGCUUAUCUCAAGAAAGAAUAGCUGAAGGAGGUCACCGAACAACACUGGGUCUCAGUCUUUCAGAAUCUUCGCACUGAUGACAUAACUUGGAGAGCCCCGUGGAUACGCCCGUCAGUUCUGCUAUACAAGGUCGAAAAUCAAGAUUGGGUGCCACUACUCGGGUUAUGGGGAGGAGUUGGAUAUGCUCCGUUAAUGGUCCAAAGGCAAUUUUCUUCACGAUAAUUCGUACCCGCCACCGGAGGAUUAGCACAAUCAGAGUUUGCUUUUGCGGGUGAAGGAUAUAUGAAGAGGGUCUGAGAUACUACAAAGUCUUGGAAGAGAAUUCAUCACAUAGAAUUAGCUCUAUAUGCUAAUACCCUCACCCAAGAUUACGACAUAUAGAGAAAGCAACGGGUGAACACCCAGCAAAUCUCGCCGACAAAUUACACCAUCCAGAAUCCUUUCUCGACAAAAGUGCCAUCCGAGCUAGAAAUAGCAAAAUAGGAAUUUGAGCGCGAAAAUGUUAAAAUGUUGCGGGACAUUAGUAUUCUUCAAGAAAAAAAUUACCAGUUGAAGAUCGACGUCCAGAUCGAAAGGUCUAAAAUCGAGAAAGUACAAAAAGAAGUUGAAGUCGUAAGAAAUGACUUAAGGGACCUUCAUCUGGAAAAUAAAAAGUUAAGAGUCACUAUAAAAAAUAGUGGGUUGAGUAAGUCGUCAACAGAAUGGAGAGAAGAAUUAAACAAUGCUAAAGGCGGGAUGGAAUUUUAGAAAAAGAGGGCAGAGAAGGAGGAGGAAAAGGCUGCGCGGGUUAUGGUAGAAUUGAGAAAGAAAAGCACUGAACACGAAGCUAUGUCUACCAAAUGGACAACCAGUCAAUCUGAACGUCAAAGCUUAAGAGAAAGAGUACGGGAUUUAGAAGAUGCGUUUCGAGCUCGUCAGCAAUAAUUGGAUACUCUCUUAAAAGCCUUGGAAGAAAAGAAUGAUCAAUAUGAUAGAGACACUCACGCUUAUAAAAAAAACCUCCAAGAAAGAGAAAUGCAACUUGGCUUUUUUAUCAACAAAAUCCGUGAAGCAGCUGUGCACAUGGUACAAUUAUCAGAUGAAGCAGAGGAUCUCAGUUGCCAAUUUUCGUCGAACCAACAAUCGAGCAUACCGGAGUUCUUAGAGCGAGUAAAGAGAUAUGGCGAUAUAGCUAGGAAGUUUGUGUAAUGGCCGAAUCAAAAAUGGUGAAAUGUUUUGUAAUGAACUCUUUUGAUGAAUGAAAUGCCUAAUAGGGACUAUCUCGAGAUCAACACCAAUUUCUCUCAUUUCUUUCAUGACUGACAUUCAUUCAACAUUUAUUCAUUCAUUCAUUGCAUAUACAUAUCCCAUAAUCAUUCGCUAAGGUUAGAAUCAUAUAAUUAGCAGUUGCAACACUUCAAAUCUGGAACCACGCCAUUCGUAUAAAACGCGUCAACAAGCUAGAGCAAUGGAGGCUGAGUUCAAUGAAAGAAUCGAAAAGAUGGAAAGAGUCAAGAAGGAAUUACAAGAACAACUGGUUAAGUCACAGUAAGAAACGAGGGAUUUGAUAGUAAGAUCUCGAGAGGAAUCACUUGAACAAAAGAAUCAAAUGGCUAGAAUGAUGGAGAUGAUGUCAGUUUUGGUCAAAGGAAAAGGACCCAUGCAGAACCCUGACAGUAUGGAACCUCAAUCGAGAAUUAAUCAUGACCAGGAUCCACUCUAUCCCCCAGGAUUCACUCCACCGUAUGCCCAUGUAGCACAAAGAGGGUAUACUCAAAGGGAAUCCGCAGGCUUGGAACAACGACCUAUGCCAUUUGCUCAUCUAGGGCAAGGAACAUUUAUGUAAAAUCCCGGAGCAACCCCUGCCAAUCCUGUAGUUCCAGAUUUAGAUGAUCCGGCCGAAAUAGCCAAGUUGAAAAUAGAUUAUCACGAGGCUCAAGAGAAGUAUAGGAGUUUGGAAGAAAGACUCAAGGCAAUAGAAGGCACUGAAGCCUUCUCAGUAUUAGGUGCUAAAGAACUCAGUUUGGUAACUGAUCUAAUUUUGCCUCCAAAGUUCAAGGUUCCUGACUUCGAAAAAUACGAUGGGACAAGAUGUCCAAAAGCAUAUCUUGUCAUGUUUUGCCGAAAAAUGACCGGUUACGUGAACGAAGAUAAGCUACUUCUACAUUAUUUUCAAGAUAGUCUAGUAGGAUCGGCUUUUCGGUGGUACAACCAGCUCAGUAAGGAAAGGAUCCGAUCUUGGAAAGACUUGGCGUUGGUAUUCUGUGAGCAGUACAAACAUGUAUCAGAUAUGGUGGCUGAUCGGAUGACUUUACAAAUGAUGGAGAAAAGGCCAUCAGAAACUUUUAGACAGUAUGCGCAGAGAUGGAGGGACGUCUCAGCCCAAGUGAAACCCCUUCUUACGAAAACGGAGAUAACCGUUCUUUUUAUCAACACCUUAAAGACGCCGUUUUAUGACAAACUAGUGGGAAGCGCCACGAAGGACUUCGCAGAUAUUGUAAUAUCCGGUGAGCUUAUAGAGAACACCGUCAAAAGCGGUAGAAUAGAAGGUCAAGAAAGUUCAAGAAGGGUAGCACCCAUGAAGAAGAAAGAACUAGAAGCCCACAUGGUGGGAAUGGGAAGCUGUUAUACCCCUAAUCCAUAUCCAAACCAACCCCGACCUCGAAAUUAUCCACCUCCAAAUUUUUAUUACCCUCCUCAAAUUCCUUACUACCAAACACCGCCUCUUUACUCUUCUUACCCCGUUUACGCCACAAGUAACCCGAGACCAACCGCCACAUUCCCAUAAAAUACAAUACCCGCCCAAGGUCAACCCAAAAACGAGCAGAGGCCAGCAAAACCCAAUUCCGAGAGACUACAAUUUACCCCUAUUCCUGUGUCAUAUGGGGAACUGUACCCAAAACUUUUAGAGAAGCAAUUGAUAUCCCCACAUUAUAUGGCACCCUUGAGGCCCCCAUACCCGAAAUGGUACGACCCAAAUGCUAGUUGUGCUUACCAUGCGAGAAACCAGAGACAUUUCACAGAAAAUUGCCUAGCCUUUAAGAGGAGAGUUUAAGGACUAAUUGAUGCGGGUAUCCUACAAUUCGAUAGUGCUAGUAAUGCAACUGGGAACCCGUUCCCUAACCAUACUGAAGGGAAUGUAAGCACAGUAGGGAAAGAAGAUGAAUGGCAAGUCAGAAGAUGUGUUUCAGAAAUAAGGACGCCUUUGCAGAAAAUCUGGGAGGCACUGGUUAAGAAUGGAUUGCUCUGUCGCCCCGACGAUAAUCUCAGAAAAGAAUGUUAGGUUUUUGUGAUUUUCAUGGAAUUGUAGGGCACAACAUUCAAUCAUGUGAGGAAUUUAAAAGGUUACUGCAAGAUCGGAUAGAUAAUAAGGAGAUUGAAAUCAUUAAUGAAGGAGAGGUCAAUGAGAGAGAAGUAUGUGCCUCUGACAAUCAAUCGUCAGGUUUUCCGUAUAGCGCCGAUCGACCAUUCGUAAUUUAUUACGAUGCAAGGAAGGAACCGGUGAAACCAAAAAUGAUAAUUGAAGUACCAUUUCCUUUCCCCUACAAGGAUAAUAAAGCAAUACCAUGGAAAUACGACGUCAAUAUCGUUACACCUGAAGACGAAAAAUCCAAAGCUGUAACUGGAAACGUUGGAGAAGUAGGUCAUUUCACUCACAGUGGGAGAUGUUAUUUGAAAGAAGUCGAACCAGUGAAGAAGAAUAGUGAUUUGAAACAAAAAGGAAAGGCACCAAUAUAUGAGGCUGAAACUAAGCACGAAACUCCGCCCGAGCAAUAAAAACUAAAGAGCCGGUGGAUGAGGAAGGAGCACGGGAAUUCUUAAAGUUUAUCAAACAUAGUGAUAUAACGUGGUGGAACAAUUGAGCAAGCAGCCAGCACGAGUCUCGGUAUUGUCUCUACUAUUAAAUUCAGAACCCCACCGGAACACCUUGUUAAAGGUGUUGAAUCAAGCUUACGUGGCAAACAAUAUAUCCGUUGAGAAGCUUGACAGAUGGGUGAAUAAUUUAAACGCGGAUAAUUUCAUUUCUUUUAGUGAUGAUGAAAUACCGCCCAAUGGUAGAGGCUCUGUGAAAGCAUUGCAUAUCACAACCCACUGCAAAGGUUACAUAAUACCGAACGUGCUUAUCGAUAAUGGAUCGGCACUCAACGUCAUGCCUUUGGCCACACUUUCUAGGAUUUCGAUGGAUUUGUCCUACCUAAAGCCUUGCCAUUCCACAAUAAGGGCAUUCGAUGGAACAAGAUGAGAGGUCAUGGAAAAAAUCGAGAUCCCUCUAAAAGUGGGUCCCUACAUAUACGAUGUCGAGUUCUAAGUCAUGGACAUUACACCAUCAUAUAACUGCCUUUUGGGAAGACCCUGGAUCCAUUCCGCCGGAGCGGUCCCAUUAUCCCUCCAUCAAAAAGUGAAAUUUAUCAUGGAUGGCUGUUUGGUCACUGUUGAGGGAGAAGAAGACAUUGUAGCAUCUAUUUCCACCGACGUACCAUACAUUGAAGUAAGUAAGAUACUAUAGAAUGCUCCUUCCGAUCCCUUGAGUUUGUGAAUGCCACAUUUGUCACUGAGGGUAACAAAUUUCCAGAGGCAAAACUGUCGAGAAAUACCAGGAUGGGUAUCAAGUUGACUAUAGGAAGGGGAGCUCGAGCGAGAAGAGGUUUAGGGAGAUAUCUACAAGGAAUAGUUAGGGCUCUAAGGCCAGUACACCACAAGGCCCGAUACGGUUUAGGUUUCCAGCCGGACAUGCGUCAAAGAAGAAGGCAGUGGAAGAAAGAUCAGGAAAGAAGGAUCGCGAGAACCUUAGGCUGAGAACCAAAAUGGGAGCCUAUGGAAUUCCCUCUUUUGUCAAGAACAUUUACGUCUGCGAGAAUGAUAUACCCGGGCCGGGAUAAUGCACAAGGCAUAAUGUUAAUGAUCGAAAAAGGUUUUCAGAAUAUCAGUAUAAACGUUAUUGACAAAGGAGCUAACGCAAGUAAAGACGUCUCAAGGAUACGCCCUUGUCCCUUGGGUUUCAGGUUGAACAAUUAGACUGCCGAGAAUCUUCUUGUAGUUUAUAAGUCUUCAGAGUAAUGCUCAAACGUUAACAUUCUGUUAUGUUUUUAGAUAUAAUAGAAUUCUUUUGUAAGAGUUUGCAUUCGCUCUUUAUCAUUCAAAUGAAUAUCAAUGAAGAUGCAUUUUGUCAUAAUCUUUCACAUUAUCACUAAUUUCAUAAUCAUUUUCUCAUUUCAUAGCCAAUCCUUACAUUCGCCUCAGGCCAUGCCAUAACAUUUCGUUUUUUGGUUCCAAUACUUGGAUGCCCCUUUAUAGUUUCCUUUUCCAUUCAACUUUCAGGUGCUCAGAUGUCAACAGCAUAAACAAACCCUUUACGAGUCCUGAAAUCGAUUUUGAGAAGGUUGUUUGUUUAGGAGAAUUCGAAGCCGAAGAAAAUGCUGAAGACUAUGUCUCGUCUCCUGACUUGCUAAGAAUGGUGGAACAAGAAGAUAAACAGAUUUUUCCUCAUCAAGAAUCUGUUGAAACAAUAAAUCUGGGAACUGAAGAAAGGAAGCAAGAAGUGAAGAUUGGGACUUCUAUUUCAGGGGGCACCAGGCAUAAUUUGAUUGCUUUGCUCCGCGAGUACAAAGAUGUAUUCGCAUGGUCAUACUAGGACAUGCCAGGAUUGGAUGAAGAUGUAGCGGUCCAUAAGCUGCCAUUAAAGCCAGAAUGCAAGCCUAUUCAACAAAACCUAAGACGGAUGAGGCCUGAGAUGUUGUUGAAGAUAAAAGAGGAAGUCAAGAAGCAAUUUGAUGCUGGCUUCCUACAAGCCUUCAAAUAUCUAGAAUGGGUGGCUAACAUAGUCCCGGUACCAAAGAAAGACGGUAAAGUACGAAUGUGCAUGGAUUAUCGUGACCUGAAUCGAGCAAGUCCUAAAGAUAAUUUUCCCUUACCACACAUUGAUACGUUGGUGGAUAACACAACAGAACAUUCAUUGUUUUCUUUCAUGGACGGAUUCUCGGGGUAUAAUUAGAUCAAGAUGGCCCCUGAGGAUAUGGAGAAAACUACCUUCGUAACAAUGUGGGGAACAUUUUGCUACAAGGUGAUGCCAUUUGGGCUAAAGAAUGCUGGGGCAACAUAUCAGAGGGCUAUGGUGACGUUAUUCCAUGACAUGAUGCAUAAAGAAAUAGAGGUCUACGUCGACGAUAUGAUUGUUAAAUCUUGAGGGGAAGAAGAGCAUGUAGUGAACCUAAAGAAGUUGUUCGAUAGACUGAGAAAGUUCUAGCUAAAGCUCAAUCCGGCCAAAUGUACGUUUGGGGCUACCUCGGAAAAAUUACUGGGCUUUAUUGUCAGUGAAAGAGGUAUCAAGGUUGAUCCAGAUAAAAUAAAAGCCAUUUAAGAGUUACCACCUCCGCGCACGCAAAAGGAAGUCAGAGGGUUUUUAGGGAGGUUAAACUACAUCGCCCGAUUCAUCGCUCAACUUACCAACCAAUGCGACCCAAUCUUUCGGCUUCUUCGAAAACAUAACCUGGGAGAAUGGAAUGAGGAAUGCCAGGUGGCCUUUGAUAAGAUAAAACAAUAUUUAUCUAGUCCUCCAGUGCUAGUACCGCCAACUCCGGGAAGACCAUUGAUAUUGUAUUUGACUGUGUUCGAGAAUUCAAUGGGUUGCGUACUAGGGCAACACGACGAGUCAGGAAAGAAAGAAAAGGUGAUCUACUACCUUAGUAAAAAGUUCACUGAAUAUGAGGCAAAGUAUUCAUCCAUUGAAAAAUACUGUUGCGCUCUGGUUUGGAUAGCUCGGAGAUUCAGGCAACACAUGUUGUAUCAUACGACAUGGUUAAUUUCAAAGCUAGAUCCAAUAAAGUACAUGAUGGAAUCACCUGCACUCUCAGGAAGAAUGGCAUGGUGGCAGAUCUUACUAUUGGAGUACGACAUCGUCUAUAUGAGUCAAAAGUCAAUAAAAGGAAGCGCAAUAGCUGACUUCUUAGCAACCUGAACAAUGGAUGAAUAUGGGCCAUUGAGAUUUGAUUUCCCGGAUAAAGAUUUGAUGUGCAUUACAGAAAAAGAGGGUGAGUCAUCAAAAAAAAAGUCAUGGAAGAUGAGCUUUGAUGGUGCAUCGAACGCAUUGGGGCAUGGGAUUGGAGCAGUCUUAGUAUCACCAGAAGGGAACCAUUACCCACUCACUGCCAGGCCGAACUUCUUCUGUACUAAUAACAUAGCAGAAUAUAAGGCAUGUAUCAUGGGACUUCGUGAAGCUAUUGAACGAAACGUCAAAACUUUAGAGGUAUACGGAGACUCAGCCUUGGUAAUUUUCCAAAUCCGUGGAGAUUGGGAAGUGAGAGACUCGAAACUGGUUAAAUACAGUGAUCUAGUGGCAGAGUUGAUUAAAGAAUUCGAAGAAAUAACUUUUAAUUACCUCCCACGAGAAGAAAACCAAUUGGCUGAUGCCCUGGCCACUUUGGCUUCAAUGUUCAAAGCAAACAGAGAAACAGAAAUAAUGCCUCUUCAAAUGAGCAUAUAUGAAGUUCCUGCACAUUGUUUCAGCAUUGAAAAAGAGCCAGAUGGACGACCAUGGUUCCAUGAUAUCUUAGAAUAUAUCAAGAAUCAAAAGUAUCCCGAACAAGCAAACGAGAACGACAAAAGAACAAUCAGAAGAAUGGCAGCGGGAUUCGUUCUUGAUGGGGACAUCCUGUACAAAAGAGGAAAAGAUCAGGUGCUCUUGAGAUGCGUAGAUGCUGUUGAAGCAAGAAAAAUACUUAAAGAUGUCCAUGAGGGAAUUUGCGGGACACAUGCCAAUGGUUUCACUAUGGCCAGGAAGAUUAUGAGACUCGGAUAUUACUGGCUGACGAUGGAAAGUGACUGCAUUAAUUUCACACGAAAAUGCCAUAAAUGUCAAAUUUACGGUGAUAAAAUUCAUGUAGCCCCUUUGCCCCUUCACGUCAUGACUUCUCCGUGGCCUUUUUCUAUGUAGGGCAUGGAUGUUAUAGGGCCAAUUUCCCCAAAAGCUUCUAAUGGACACCGAUUCAUUUUUGUGGUUAUUGAUUACUUCAUGAAAUGGAUAGAAGCCGCAUCGUUUGCCAAUGUGACGAAGACUGCGGUUUACAGGUUUUUGAAAAAGGAAAUCAUUUGUCUAUAUGGAUUGCCUGAAAGAAUCAUUUCCGAUAACGCCUUGAAUUUGAACAACAAGAUGAUGAAAGAAGUGUGUGAGCAAUUCCAAAUAAAGCAUCAUAACUCCUCGCCCUAUCGCCCAAAGAUGAAUGGAGCUGUUGAAGCGGCCAACAAGAAUAUUAAGAAGAUUAUUGGGAAAAUGACUGAGACAUAUAAAGACUGGCACGAGAAGCUACCAUUUGUUUUGUAUGCAUAUCGCACAUCUGUACGGACAUCUACGGGGGCAACUCUUUUCUCUCUGGUCUAUGGAAUGGAAGCUGUGCUACCUAUCGAAGUUGAGAUCCCCUCUCUACGAGUCUUAAUGGAGUCGAAAUUAGAGGAAGCAGAAUGGACAGAUGUACCAGAAGAGAAUGAUCGUAGCCCAUGACAAGAAGGUACGGCUAAGAGAAUUCCACGAAAGAUAACUCGUGCUAAGAAAGAUUCUCCCAAUAUAAAAAGACUUCCAAGGAAAAUGGGCGCCAAAUUGGGAAGGUCCAUACGUCGUAAAGAAGGUAUUCUCGGGGGGAGUUUUGAUUCUCACCGAGAUGGAUAGGAAGGAGUUACCGAAUCCAGUGAACUCAGAUGCUGUAAAGAAAUAUUAUGCUUGAAAAAGAAAAUCAAGAUGAAAACUCGAAAAGGGCAUCUUAAAAAAAAGAGAGAGAAAAAAGGGUGAUCAAGGUAAAAACCCGAAAAGGGCGUCUUGAUUAAACACAAAAGAUUAGGAUGAAAACCCGAAAGGGCAUUCUAAUGAAGCAAAUCCGGGCUUAAAGAACAAGGCGUUUUGAACGGUGGGUCAAACAGUGAGACUACAGUAUUUGAAGCAUUUCUGAAAGCUCGAAAUCUUCUACGCAAGAAGCCAUGCUCGAAAAGGUUCUUGAUUGAGGAAUGGGAAAAAGUACAUGCAUUGAAUAUCUAGAGCAUUUGUAUUCGUUGAAUGCAAUCCCUUUUCUCUUUAUGACACUCUUUUACUAUUAUUGGUUAACUUGCUUUGUUUGCUACAUUUGAAAUGAAUAAAUGUGAGGUAUCCUUUUGUCCCUACCUGACCAUUUUCAUACAUCUCAUUAUGUGAUUCAAUUACAUGAUAAAUAGUGAAAUGACAUACUCUAAACAAAAGAAAUGUUAAGCAUUACCCGGGUAAGAAUUUAAUAAGUACAAGAAUCUCAAAGUAAGGACAAAGUUCAACCAUGGGCAAAAGACUGAUAUUUGAGAAACAUUGAUUGCUCGUGAAACUUGAGGACGGGUACAGGGCCUAAAGAGGAAGUCAGGAGCCGAAGUAAUGAAUGCAGAUCAUCACGAAAAUUGGGACGAAAAAGAGAUAUAUGACAAACAUGCCUAAAGCUCAUAGCAUAAUCAUGUAGGCAUAAAAUCAUUUACGACAAACAUAUGCAUAUCAUGAUAAUAUCAUGCAUGACAUAUACAGAUACUCCAGUAGAGCAAGAGGAUGUGAUGAUAGCUGAAAAGACACAUGAGUUCCUCUAGAUGACAUGUUUUGGUAUUCUGAUGUUUUUAUUUCUGUUUCAAAAUUCAACUCAUACUGCGAGGGGUGAGUUGAGUCUCAGGACAUGUUGAGGUAUUUUCGAUUUCUGUUUUUCAAUUUAUGUUUUCAAAAAUCAAUUCAUAUUGCUAUAGGUGAGUUGAGCCUCAGGACACGCUGAGGUAAUUUUGAUCUCCGUUUUCGAAAAUCAACUCAUAUUGCGAGAGGUGAGUUGAGCCUCAGGACACGCUGAGGUAAUUUCAAUUUCUGUUUGUCAAAAAUCAACUCAUAUCAAGAGAGGUGAGUUGAGCCUCGGCCCACAUGCUGAGUUCUUUUCAAUUUCUAUUUUUAAUUUCUGUUUUUCAAAAAUCAACUCAUACUGCGAAAGGUGAGUUGAGCCUCAGGACAUGCUGAGGUAAUUUUAAUUUCUGUUUUCUCCAAUUUAUGUUUUUCAAAAAUUAGCUCAUAUUGCGAGAGGUGAGUUGAGCCUCAGGGCACGCUAAGGUAUUUUCAAUUUCUAUUUUUCAAUUUCUGCUUUUCAAAAAAAAAAACUCAUAUUGCGAGAGGUGAGUUGAGCCUCGGCUCACAUGCUGAGGUAUUUUCAAUUUAUGUUUUUUCAAUUUAUAUUUUUCAAAGAUCAAUUCAUAUUACGAGAAAUGAGUUGAGCUCAGGACCACAUGUCGAGUAAAGAAUGAAGAUUGGAGCUGAUUGAAGACACCAGAUUUUGUCUCCCUAAAGUUGUAGUGGAGCUGAUCGAGGAUAUCAGAUAUUGCCUUUCUAAAGUUGCAGAAGAGAAGACCACAAAACUUAUCUGACUAAAGCAAUAGAAGAGCAGAUUGAAGCCAUAGAUCUCAUCUUUCUAAAGCUACAAUGAGGCAAAUCGAAGCUAGGAACCUCAUACCCCUGAAGAUGUGGGCAGAUUGAAGCUACAAGUCAUGUCAAAAGAUGCAGUGGAUCAAACCAAAGCUACAAGAUGUGGUGGACAGAAAGGAGACUACCUGAACAAGAAGAGCACUAAAGAAAUCAAUACUUGGCAAGACCGGGCAAAAUUGACCUUUCUUUACGUCUUUGCUCUAUUCCCGUUACACGACAAUGAGCAAAGAGGGGCAGCUGUUAUAGGCCAAUUUUGGCCCAUUUACAUUAAACCCCAUGACCCCUUUACAUUUUUACAAAACCAUUAACUCGCUUAAACCUCAACCCAUCCCCAACAACCCAUUAGCUAACCCUUUACCCAAAAUCCAUUACCCAAUACAUAAACCCAAUACCCACCAAACCCAAUGGCCUAUUACAUACCCAAUUCACAAAACCCAGUUACAACCAAACCCACUACCUAAACACUUAAAACCCAACACCAGCCCAAAACAGUGAAGCCUGAUAGGCCCAAGACUCUAAAAAAAUUUUGGAAAGCCAGAAACCCUAGGGUUUCUGGCGCCAUUGCCCCAUGUGCACGACCACUCAGCCUCCACGCGAGCUGCCAAACCACCUCUGCCCGAGACCUGGCACUGCCCAUACCGUCUGACACUCCCACCACCAGCACCGGCCAUGCCCUGCAAAAACAACAGACAAGCAAAGCAGAAGCAAGAAUAGCAAAAAAAUAAUAAUAAAGUAUGUAACAAAAUAGGCUAUAAAAGCCGAAUAGAAAACUGAAAUGGGGCCCUUUUUUUUCCCUUUCUUCCUUUAUUCUUUGUAAACAAAAAAAGGAAUUUAUAGACUUCAAUAAACAGACAAUAGUGGUUGUUCAAACAAACAAGGAGUAAACGAAAAGGUUGUAUUUUUUCUCUUUAUUUCUUUCGAUUUUUGCAUACAUAUAUAUAUACACAUUUCUUUAUUUUUUUAUUUAAUAUAAACAUAAAAUAUAGCACAAAAAAAGAAUACAAAAAAAUAAAAAAAAAUGGUAAAUUUUUACCUUUUCGCGGUGGCCGGCGCCGGCGCUGGCGACGGUCCGGUGACGGAUCGUUGAUCGGCCCCCUGGUCGGAGUCCUCCCUUUUCCCUCUUCUCUCUUUCCCUCUCUUCUUCUCUCCCCUUUUUUUUUUCUUUCUCCCUCACAAAUGAAUUUUUUUCUGAAAUUGGGCUUAUUUAUAGCCCUCCGAAACGGCGUCGUUUUGAGGGCUGUACUUAAGCCCCAAAACGACGCCGUUUUGAACAUGACCCGAACCGUCUGACCUGACCCGCCUCAGGAUCCGCGUGUUUUUGUUUGAAUGGGCUAUUUAUGCGCGCAGUCCUUCCGCUUUUCUGAGGCUUUACAAUCAAGUUUUCUUAUUUUCAAUUUGGCCCCAUAAUUUUCAGUGUUUUUCAAUUGGGUCCCCUGUACUGCGCAACGUUUUGACUAAGGGAUUUAUUGCGCUUUUGACCCUCCAAGUUACGCGCAUGUUAUAAUUUCGUCCUUUUCUUUAGUUUUUAUUUUAAAUUGGCCCCAAAAUUUAGUUUUUAAUUCAAUUUCAUCCUUUUUUACCUUUUUUCGUUACUCUACUUUAAUUUAUUAUUAUUACUUCUAAUGUGUCCAUAUUAUGUAUUGUACCAUGUGUAUAUAUUUAUAUUUAUAUGUUACGUACUUUUAAUAUUAUAUUUAUAUAUAUUAUUAGGUAUAUUUUUAAUAUAUAUGUAUUUGUGAAGUAUUAUCAAUAGUUUUUUUAUUAUUAGUUUCAAAAUGUAUAUAUUGUGUUUAUAUUUUAAUACUACGCUAUAUAUAUAUUUUUGUAUUAUUAUAUAUAUUUUUAAAUAUUAUAUAUUGAGUAUUUCUAACAUUAUUACUAUAUAUAUACGUACGUAUUUUUAUCGCAUAAAUAUUUUUAUUUAUCACUUCUAAUGUGUAUAUAUAUAGCAUAUGUUUUAUAUCGUAUAUUUCCCUUUUUUUUAUUAGUUAUAUGUUUUUUUAUUAUUUCAUGUACAUAUCUUUAUAUCAUCUUUAUUAUUAUUAAUCUUAAUACAUGUUUUAUAUAUGUAUAUAUUAUGUAUAUUUUAAUAUUAUAUUAUAUGUACGUACUCAUAUUAUAGUGUUUUUAGUUACAUAUUUUUGUACUAUAUUAUUUUAUUAUUUUGCUAUUAUUAGUAUUAGUUUUAGUUUCAAUAAAUAUUCUAAUAUGUAUAUACAUAUAUACUUUAGUAUCAUAGUUGUAUACUUUUAUACGGUCUUAUGUACAUAUAUUUACAUGCAUAUUUUCAUUUAAAUACAUUUUUAAUACCAUAUAUGUAUAUGCGUUUUUACUAUAUUAGUUAGUCUUUUUCCCUAUUUUAUAUAUACAUUUUAAAUACUAUGUAUAGUAUAUUUAUGACUCUAUUACUAUAUAUAUUUUAUGUACACACUUUUAAUAAUAUUAUUAUUAUGUAUAUAUAUUCGUUGUUUUUAUUUCAUGUUUAAUAUUAUCAUUAUUUACGUUUAAUAUCGCAUGCAUGAUUAUUAUUUUUAAUAUUAUUAUCAUAUUUAUUAUUUGUUUUAAUAUAUGCCCGGCACUUUUAUUUAUUUCUAUUUCAUAUCAAUUUGCUUUGCAUUAUUUCGAAAAUCUUAUUCUUGUUUUCCGAUUAAUUUCAAUGCAUAAGGCAACAUAUUGGUUUAACACCAAGUUGUCAAUUUCAUCGCUAUGUUGGGUGAACAUCAAUUGACUUGUGUUAAAUCGGUAUAUCCUUCUCAAAAAAAAAUCAAAAAGAUUGAAAAUUCUUGUCUUUUCAAACGGAUCACGAUUAAAUCCUAUAUUGAAAUCGUAUCUUUUGAAAAUCAAGACUACACGUGUUUAUAGGAUACCAAUUUUGGGCGUCGCGAGGGUGCUAAUACCUUUCUCGCGCGUAACCGACUCCCGAACCCUAAUUUUUUCUUUGGAUUUUAGCGUAGACCUAAACUCAGCAUUUUAUUUGUUUUAAUAAGAUAUCUAAUAGGUGUCCGAUCACGCCUAGGAAAAAGAAUCAGUGGCGACUCCCUGUUUAUUUCAAAAAUCAAACGUCAAAUUUCAAACUUUUUUUCAAUAAAUCGCCACAAUUAGUGACCAAGCUAAGCUAAAAUUUUUACGUCGCUACAUCAACAAUAGCGGAACGCAUUCAAGACUUUGUGUUAAUGUUCAUCCUCGUGAUGUUAAUAAAGCCUUAAGCUGAAACAACAUUACGUUUCAAUGUUCUAAUAUAACUUUUUAACAUUUCUUAAUUGCAGUGUUUGUAAAUGGCAAAUUUUGCAAGGACCCAAAGCUUGCAGUUGCAGAAGAUUUCUUCUUUUCAGGCCCAAACAGGCCGGUGAACACAUCAAAUCCAGUUGGAUCAAAUGUCACCAUGAUCAAUGUAGACCAAAUACCAGGACAUAACACUCUCGGCAUAUCUCUGGUUCGAAUCGAUUAUGCACCUUAUGGUGUCAACCCUCCCCCAGUCCCCACAUUCACCCUCGGGGAUCCAAGAUCUUGCUUGUUGUCGAAGGCACACUUUAUGUCAGCUUCGUUACAGCGAACCUAGACAACCGUCUCUUCACUAAAAUCCUAAACCCUGGAGAUGUUUUUGUUUUCCCCUUUGGUUUGAUUCAUUUCCAGUUCAACAUAGAAAAAACUGCGACGGUUACCUUUGCUGGUCUCAGCAGCCAAAAUGCUGGGGUUAUCACUAUAGCUAACUCAGUCUUUGGCUCAAACCCACCGAUCAACCCAGAUGUUUUGGCCAAGGCGUGAAUUUAUACAAAUUUAUACAAUUAGAAAGAUAAGUAAAUAAUUGUAAAAAAAAUUAAAUCUCGUGAAUUUUUUUCUUCUAUUCCACAAUCAAAUUACACGAUUAGAUAAAAAUUACCGAAGACUAUACAAAAUCAACGUAACAAACGGGUUUUGGCAUAUAAAACUUCAGUACACAAAGUAUAGAAGCCCAUACUUAGCAUUCAAACUUAUACACACACUCACUACAUUUAUACAAAUAAACUUGCUAAUCCCGAAUACGGAUUAACUUUCCUUCAGCCGAUUCGCUUACUAGCGACAUUAGGUUGAAUUAAAAGUACAGCUUGAGUGGCGUUGAAACAAGACAGUCCAUAUCAUUUUUUUUUUCCUAAAUCUUACAUCAAUAAACUUUGAGCUUUGUCUUGGAUGAGUUUCCACAAGGCAUCCACAUGGUGUUGUUGAGUCAGAGUUGUUCCAAUGGCACAUCGAAUUACAUAAAUCCCACUCAACACUGCAUGGCUCAUGAACGCUCUUCCACUUGAAUUUAUGGCCUCCACCAAUUUACAGUUCAAAUCCUCCUCCUCCACCUUGGGCUUCAACCUGAAGCAAACCAAUGCGAACUUUCUGGCCACUACGAUCUCAAACCUCUCAUCUUCUCCCACAAGUGCUUCGAAUCGUUUAGCCAUGGCGAUAUCGCUUCGAAUGUGGUACAUCAAGUUAGCCAGACCAUGUCGGCGAAUCACAACCCAAAGCUUCAAAGCCCUAAAACGUCUACUCAAUGCUAUCUGCCAAUCUUUGUAGUCCACCACUGCUUUGGAUUUACUUGCGUUGUUUCUUAGAAUUUCAGGGUCAGUUGACAAUGAAUCCACCAACAACUUCGGCUCCUUGAUCCACAGACAACAGCAAUCCAUGUUUGUGAGAAAUCAUUUAUGUGGAUUCAUGCCGAUGGAGUUAGCAAGCUCCACUCCAUCAAGAUAAUGGCGGAGCUCGGGGCAAAUGCAGCCACUUCCUGCAUAUGCUGCAUCAAUGUGAAGCCAAAGCUUGAAUUCCAUGGCAACUUUGCCCAACUCUGCAAUAGGAUCGACAGCUCCAGAGGGUGUUGUCCCAAUGGUUGCACAUAAAAAUAAUGGCACCAAACCAGAUUUGAUAUCGUCUUCAAUGGCGAAGCGAAGGUUUUCGGGUGACAACGAAAACCCUGUCGAAAAAAAUGUUUCAAUUAACCGAAAAUUUGAUGGGGGAAUGCCUACGAGUUUCGCUGCCUUUUGGAAAGUGAAAUGCGUUUCAUCCGACGCAUAAACCACCAGUUUGGUUAUGUUUUCCCACCCUCCAAGCUCUUUCAAGGCUUUGUCCCUUGCAGCAGCCAAAACGCAAACAGCAGCCUCACAUGUACUGCCAUGCAAGACUCCACCUCCGGUUCCGGAUAACAAGAAGGAAGAUGGUAGCUUAAGCAUUUUGCCCAUCCAAUCCAAGACAAUGGGUUCGAGCUCAGUCGCCGCUGGUGACGAAAUCCAGUUGAAACCAACGACAUUAAAACCCGAACAAAGCAUUUCCCCAAGAAAGCCAGCAGUGCUAGCAUUUGCAUGGAAAUAGGCGAAGAAGUUGAGACUUUGCCAAUGAGUCAGGCCUGGGAUGAUGCAAUUGCUGACAUCUUCGAGUAUGUCUUGGAGUGGUUCAGGGCAAUAAGGGGCUGAGUCAGGCAACAUGGCCGACAAAUAACCGGGCUCAACGGUGCUUUGAACUGGGUAUUUCUCAACGUUUUCGUAGUAAUCAGCAAUGAAAUCAAUCACUUCUUUGGACUCGUUUGAGAAGGUCACUGGAUCAAGGGGAAGGAAUGUUUUUCUUGAUUCACUUCCCAUUUUAUCAAUAUGUAAAUGCUUCUUUGUUUCAAUGGGUAUAUCGGUAAAAUGAACACAAAAAAGAUGGUAUAUUUGUAUAUUAACGGAAGCAGGCCUAGAGGGGUAUAUAUUUAGCAAAAAGGAGAGGAAUUAGGCUUUAGAAAGCGACAAUAACAGUUAGGUUCGAUUACAAAAAUGUCACAUUUGAUAUAUAAAACGUGAAAAAUUAAAUAAAAUAAAAAUUAAAUUAAAUAAACUAAAAUCUGAUUAAUAAAAAAAAGUAAAUAUUAAACUUAGUCAAGCAAAAACUUCAUAUUCUCUGUUUAAGUAGAUGAUGAUUUUUUAGAAAGAAAUUUUUAUUUAAAAUAAUAUUUUAAAUUAAUGUCAUAUUAUUAAUCCGAACUUGAUAAUUUUUUUAAAAAAAUUCGUGUCGAAUUUUCAUUGGCCGGUUUAAUAAUUCACUAAUAGUAUUAACACAACUACCAUAAUAAAAUACAUAUUAAGAGUAAAAUACAAAAUUAAAUAUUUUACAAAUUGUGGUAGGUCUGGAAAAUGACGCAUCCCCUUCAAUACGAGAUAUGCUUCUCAUACAAAUACAACAUUAAAUAUUUCACUAAUCGGUACAACACGUUUAAAAAUGAAAAACACGUUUUCGUAAAUGCGUUUUCAACCUUGAAAAUUUUAAAAUGUGCUUUUCAAUGUCUGAAUAUAUCUAGGGAUUCCCGGGAUAUCUGAAAAAAGGAUUGAGAUUUUUGGGGCUCAAUAAAACUUUUCAAGAGAGUUACAAAUGGUAAAGUGGAAACGCACUUCCCAGGACGUGCUUUUAGUGAAGUAACAAAAAUAUGCAUUGAAACCAUACUUAACUCAACGCUUUUUUCUCUCUCUCUUUAAAAUCGACCUAUUCUAAUAAAUACGGUGAAAAUCAGUCUAAUUCUGCAAAUACUUUUUAAAAAUAACAUAUACUAUUAAUUUAGGAUGUUUCUUUGCUCUGCCCGACUAAGGGCUUAGACGAACACCUUAUUUUAUUUUUUUUUCCAUUUUUUGGGUUUGGCCUAAUUUGUUUUGUUUGUAGGAUUGUUUUUUUUCCGGUUUGGAUAUGAAAUUUGGACCAAAAUCAUAAAAAAGAAAAUAAGUUUUACUUGUUUUUUUUAUCGAUUAUAGAUUAUUUUUCGAUAUAAUUGAUCCAAUCCGAUAGUUCGGUCUAAUACAAUUGAAUUUGAAAAAAGGUUUUUAAUAAAUUAGAAAAAAAUCAAAAUUGAUUACUUUUACUUAAAAUAUUUAAGGAAUUAAUGUCACAUUUAAUAUAUGUAUUCUUAUAAAAUGUUCAAUGUAAUACAUGUAUUUUGAAAAUGUCUAAUGUGAUACCUGAAAUAUCAAUAUGUGUUUUAUCAUGUACUUGUACUUUUAUAAAAUGCCCAAUAUGGUAGUUGUACUUUGAAAAUGUCCAAUGUAGUACAUGAACUAUCAAUGUGUGUUUUAUUAUGGUACUUGGUAUUAACACUGUUAGUGAAUUGUUAAACUAGCCAAUGAAUCGACAUGUAGAUUUUUUUUUUCAAAUCUAACAUUACCUAAAAAACUAAAUAAAAUAAAAUUUAAUUUAGUUUAAAAAACUAAACAUAUGGUUAAUAAAAAAGAAGUAAAUAUUAAACUUACAUAAGCAAAAACACCAUCUUCUCCAUUUAAGUAAAUGAUCAUCUUCUCCAAAAAAAAUUAUUUUAAAUUAACUUUUAAAUAUUUUUUUAUGUACAAGUUCUUUCAUGUAAGUUAGUAUUUAACUAUAUUUUAACUAUAUCUUUAGUUAUUUGUUUUUAAUUUAAUUUUUUUUUGUUUUACUUAGCGUGUCGAAGUUUUAUUGGUUGGUUUAGUAAUUCACUAAUGAUAUUAACGCUAAUUACCAUAAUAAAAUACAUAUUACUAAUACAGAUACCACAUUAUAAGCAAUUGAUUAAUUAAGCCAAAGAUGUAAAGUUGUUAUAUAGGCAUGUACACUUUAAAAAAAUGUUGUCUUGAUUCACUAGGAGUUUUAUAAUAUUUAUAUAAACAAUAAUUUGAAGGUGAUACUUGCAACUUAUAACUGAUUGAGAUUUCUUUUGUUGUUAUCUUUUGAUUCAUUAUUUGUAACUAAUUUUGUGUAAUUUCAUGUAGUAAAUUUCGUGGUUAAUUUGAAUAAAUAAAUAAAAAAUCUAAAUUAAUAUUGAUAAUUGGAAGUAAUUUAAUUUUCUUAUUAAUAUAUGCUAUCCAAAAAUUUAAAUAGAGAUAUCCAAUAAUGGAAAGUUUAAUCGGCUUAAAAUUGUUUUUUUAUGACAAUUAGUUCAACGAAGAAAAAAGAAGUUAGGUCUGUUGGCUAUAAUGACCUUUUGUUGCGUAUGACUAGCGUCACAUAUUAAUAUUGUGAACCAUAAAAAUUUUUGCAUCAUUCUUCAUGUCUCCAUCGUUGAAAAUGAAGGAUGUAGAAGAGGUCUGUAUUUUUUACGCAACUAACUCCAAGGUGAAAAUUAAGGAGUUCGAAGGGGUCGCGAUUUUUUGCGCAAUUGAUUUAAAGUGAAAAUUAAGGAUAUAAGAUGGGUUCCGGUUUUUUACGCACUGACUCAAAAAGGAUUAAUUAUUUAUGAAAAAUGAUUCAAGUUAAAAUUUAUAUAUAUAAAUGAUAUGUUCUUUAUAAUGAUAUAGGAGAGGUACUGCCUGACACACUAGUAGUAUCGCCCCCUCAUCAUUAGGCAAUCAUCACAUUUUAAAAAAAGUAUUUAUAAUGAUAUAGGAGAGGUACUGCCUGACACACUAGUAGUAUCGCCCCCUCAUCAUUAGGCAAUCAUCACAUUUUAAAAAAAAGUAAUCUUUUUAGGAGCUGCCACUAUGUAAGACAGCACCACUAUGUAUUAUUUAAAAUACCUGUUAAAAAAUAUUUUUUUUCUUUUUUUCCUUCUUGAAUAUUCAUAUUUUUGACUAGUAUUUUCAAAAUUAGAUAUUAGUGUCCCCUGACACGGUGGCAGCACUCAAAAAAAUUUAUUUUCCUUUUCUAAAAAAUUGAUAAUUGACUAGUGAUGACAGGACAUGCCGCUGGUGUAUCAGGUAAUACCGACGAUCACUAUAAAGAAGAGUCAUUUAUGUUCAUAAAUUUUGACUUUAAUUAUUUUCGUAAAUAAUUAAAUAUUUUUGAGUCAAUUGUGUAAAAAAACUCAUUGCAUAGAGCUCACGUUGUAAAUAAGCAAAUCCAAAAGGGCGGAUAUUGGUUAGCUUUCGAAGGGAUCCGAAUUUUUUGCGCAAUUGAUUCAAAGGCAAAAAUUAGGAUAUAAGAGGGUUUCGACUUUUUUAUGCAACUGACUUAAAAGUGAAAAUUAAGGAUGUAGAAGGGGUUCAGCUUUUUUACACAACUAACUCAAAAAAAUAAUUAUUUAUGAAAAUGAUUCAAGUCGAAAUUUAUAUAUGUAAAUGAUUUGUUCUUCACAAGGACUGUCGGCACUACCUGACACACUAGCAACGCUGCCCUCUCAUCAUUAGCCAAUCAUCUCCCUUUUUAAAAAAUAAUCUUUUUGGGUGCUACCACUAUUUCAAGCAGCACCGCUAUGUAUUACUUAAAAUAUCUGUUAAAAGUAUUUUUUUUCUUUUUUUCUUCCUGAAUAUUCGUAUUAUUAAUAAAUAUUUUGAAAAAUAGAUGUUAGUCUUGCCUGACACAAUGGCGACGAAAAAAAAAAUUAACAUUUUAAAAAGUCAAUAAUUGACUAAUGAAGAAAGAACAUGCCGCUGGUGUAUAAAACCACACCGACAAUCACUACAAAAAAUGAAUUAUUUACAUUCAUAAAUUUUAACUUUAAUUAUUUUCAUAAAUAAUUAAAUUCUUCUGGCUCAGUUGCGUUAAAAAAAAAAAAACCAUUGCAUACUGCUCACGUUGUAAAUAAGCAAAUCCAAAAAGCGGAUAUCGGUUAGCUUUUUAGUUUUUGAGAAAUAUUUAGGUUUUCUAAUAUUUAACAAAGUGAAAUUGAUAAAUAUAAUACCAUUGUCGCUAUAAUAGGGGCAAAUCCAAAAAGGCCAACAGUAGUUUUAAUAUUCAAAAUUUUUCAUUCCAAAUUAUGAAAAAUAUUUGAAUUCUAAAUUCUUAAAAUUUUAAUCUAUUUAUCUGUGUUAUUGGUGAUUCAAUUUUUAAGUAAUUUUCAUUUUCAUCAUAAAAAAUACUUAUAAUUUCAUGACUUAAUUUUAAAAUGUUUGUCACUUAAGCAUUAAAUUAUUAACGUUAUCUGAUUGUCACCAAAUCAUGUUCACAUCAUGUUUUCACUUUUAUUUUGGCCACCUAUUUUUUAAGUGACUUUAAUUUUGGUCACCAAAAAUAAUUGUUAUAGCCCAAAAUUGCCUGGCCCAAGACCCACAAGCAGAUAAACUAAAAAAUAAAGUCCAUUUACAAACCUAUACAACUACCCAAUACCCAAACAAGCCCAAAAUAAAAAAACAACCCAAGGGCCAACAAAACUAAGGAAAAACAAAAGCCCUAGCAGCCAACCUUCAGCCGCUGCAGCCCAGGGCAGUCUCCAGGCACCGCACGUCGCGCGCCUCCUCCGCGUCGUGCGCUGCUCCACCACGCCACAUCAGCGAUACACUCACGCACGUACCUGCAAACGUGCAAAAAAAAAUAAGUUGUAAAAUCGGCUAUAAAAGCCUUUGAAAAUAUAUUGUAAAGGGGUUUUUUUUUUUACGAAUACGAACACAAGAAAUACACACAAAAGCAGUCAAUAGCAAUAAAUAUCAGAUUUGGCAAUCAAAAGGUUGAUUAUUGCUCUUUCUCUUUUCGGAUUCUUGUUUUUUCCUUUUUUUUUUGUUCUUUUUUACAGAUUGAUUUUAAAUAAAAAACGAAGGAAAAGAGGCUUACCUGGGUUUACCCCGUGGUUCGGCGUCGGAGGCAGAGGCGCAGAAGCGCCGAUGACCCUCGUGCGCGGCCUCCCAAAGCAGGGUCAAAACCCUUGAAGCAAAUGGGGUUUCUUUUUUUAAAAUGGCAGAAUGCCAUUCAAUUGAUUUUCAUUUUGGUUUAAAAUGCCAAACAAAACAGCACCGUUUGGUGCUGGGCCCAUGCAUUUUGGCUCAAAAUGGGGUAUUUUCACAAUCGGUCCUCCCCUUCGUGCUAGUGUUCAAUCGAGCCGUGUUUUUUUAAAAUUAUUUUAAAUUGUCCCUGGAAUUUACGCGCCGUUGCAAAUCAGUCCGCGCUGAAACAUUUCUUUUUGGGAUUUGGUUUAUUUUCGUUUUUAGUCCCUAUAGUUUACGCGCAUUGUAUUAUAGUCCUUAAUGUUGUAAAUUAAUCUCUUGAUUUUGUUUUCUUUUAAAUCGGUCUUUUUUUUUGGUUUUUUUUAUUCAUUUCAAUUGAUUCUUUAUAAAUUCAUUAUUUGUUUUAAUAUAUAUUAUUGGAAUUAUAUUGAAUAUAUUAUGAUUGCAUUAUUUAGUGGUAUAUAUAUAUUUAUACUUACUUUUAAAUCUAUUUAUAUCUAAUAUUUUUAAGAUCCUAUUUUACUACAUUUUUUUUAUCUUUUAAACGUUCUCAUCUAUUAUUAUUAUUAUAUAUAUAUGUAUUAUUUAUAUUAGGUUUUUCACUUUAUAUAUUAUCAAUGGUUGACGGAUAAACUUUUAAAAAAAAAAAUUAUUUUGUGAAAUCAUUGAUCUCAUACUAUAUAGAUUGUUAUUCAUAUAUAUUCUUUUGUAUAUUUUUAUAUGAUUAUACGUAUAUAAUUUAUGUUAAAAUUUUUGUUAUAUGUACAUAAUUUGUUUUUUAUGAGCAUACAUUAUUACGUUUACGUGCAUUAUUUAUAUUUUAUUUUAUUUAUAAAUUUUAGUUUAUAGCACUAAUUUUUAAAAAUUUCUUUCUAUAGUAUUGGUUUUGAAAUUAUAUGUUAAACUUUAUAUUUUAUAUAUUAUUUAUUUUUAUCGUUAUUCAUUUAUGAUUAAUUUCAAAGUUUUGCAUGUAGUGUGUGUCUACAUACAUAUAGUUUAUUUUAUAUAUUAUUCGUUUGUUUAUUAUUUGUUUUUGGUGUGUUUUUUUUUUACAUAUUUGCACCUUUGUAAUAUUAUUGAUAAAUAGUAAUAUAUUAACUAUGUACAUGUUAUUAGUUACCUUACUUUUGUAUCUCCGUAUAUUGAUUUAUGAUCGACCUUGCUCACUAUUUCACCUUAAAUUGUUCGUUCCAUUUUUUUUAAAAAAAGUACUCCACUGUUUUUUUAAUUGCUCAUGCUAUUUAAAAAAAAAAACCCUUCAAUAUAAGGGAAUAUUUUGUAUUUGGGAGUUUGAGAGAUCGUGUCCAACCGUGCUGGGUUUCGAUUUUUCAUUCAACUAAAAUACAGAAUAUCCUUUUGAAAUUUCAUCCUUGUUUUCUUAAAUUAAAAUGAGGCAAUAUUUUGUAUUUGAAAAUUCGAUAAAUUGUGCCCAAUCGUGCUGGGUUUUGAUUUACCAUUUGGCCAAAUAGCUAAAUAUCCUUUUUAAAUUUCAAAUGCAUGUAUUUUGGAAAUCAUGAGAUGAUUUUGUAUCGAGGGUUCAAAAUGUCAUGUCCUAUUAUGCUGGAUACGAUAUUUUAUUCCCUCUGGGCGAGAGAAUCUCAACAUCCAGUUAAAGAUAUCUAAAUGUUUUCAAAGGAAUUAUAUUUUAAAAUUUUUUUCCAAAUCUUUAACAUUAGAACGUUAAUUGAUCAAAUACGGUAUCAAUUUUGGGCUUCGCGAGAGUGCUAAUCCUUCCUCGCGCGCAACCGACUCCCGAACCCAUUUCCUAGUUUUUCGUAGACAAAAAAAAACGUUGUUUUAAUAAACAAAAAUGUUUUCUUAAAAUGAUCAAUCACAAGGUGUCCCGAUCACACCUAAACAAAAAGGAUUGGUGGCAACUCUAUUUUCGUUUUAAAGUCGACCUCCGUUUUUCAACAUAAGAAUGGUUUCGACAAUAAUUUUUUUUAAGUCUUGAUUCGGGUAAAAAAAAUUAAAGAUUAACAUAAAAAAAGGUAGAAACUAAAAUAAUUAUUAAAAAUUAUUGUAUUGUACUUAUUUAGCUCCAUUGUCGAACAUUUUAAAUUUCUUUUCUUUUCUUUUCUUUUCUUUUUAAUAUUGAAAUUUUAAGUUUCAAAAUGUAACAGCCCCUCGUUAGAUUCGAUCGUCAAAUCCGCGCUACAAGAUGUCACAUUCGUUGUUAGAACAAUUACUAUUAAGUUCACAGUAAAACAAUCAGUUCAAAUCAUCAUAUAUGCAGCAGCAACAACAACAACAACAUUACAAACAUUAGAUAUGAUGUACAACCCUUCUUGAGUCUUAUAUAAUUGUAAGAAUACUCUAAGGUUAACCCGAUAUCGAGUGAGGACCAAUUUAUAAAAGUUUCAAAAUUUCAGUUUAACGUUGUAGUGUGAAGAGGUUCUUCAUCGCCACGUAACUUAUAUUGGAUUCGGUGCCCUGAGUGUAGUAUUUUUAUUUAUGUACAUUUAUAAUUUUUUUAAACAGAUUGGUUAAAAAAAUUAUUCAUGAAUUACAUUAAUACUUUAUAUAUUAUCCUCACGUGGUUUUUGCAUGCAUAGCAAAAGAGAAGUAAAUGUUAUUCGUUAGUUGUCUAAUGUUUAAAUUGAUACUAAGCGGUAUUAUGUAGUCAGAUCGUAAUAUGAAAAGACAACUUGUAUUAGUGGAUGAACCUAAAUAUUACCUUAGUCUAAUUGAAAAUAAACCGACUGGAAGACUAUAAAAUCCAAUUAGAAAGAUAUUAUAUUUUAAGCAUCGAAGUGGGUGACUAAAAAAAAACACAUUUGUUAUUUAUUAAUCUAGAUAGAAAAAUGGUGAAGAAUCUUCAAUCCAAAUUCUGAUAGGAUACCAACCAAAGGAAUGUUCAAAUGACGGUUGAAGUUGUCAUUUGUUAUUUAUAGAAACAUUUUUUUUUUCUGAAAUAUAGAGAGGUUCUUUAUCGGUCUCCUAUGUAAACAUGUUUAGCAAUUCGCAAUUGACGUAUUUAUCUAAAUAUUAAAAAAAUGUUUAAAUUUUUAAUUAUUUUACCUAUUUAUCUAAAUAUUAAAAAAGGUUUAAAUUUUUAAUUAUUUUUAAAAAUAAUUAGGUAAAUUUUUAUUUCAAAACGUUAUACAAUAAAUUUAACUAAAAUAUUAACAUUGUUAUUACCUGGACCGAAUUUUAAAAUUUGAAAAAAAAAACUAAAUUGUUAAAACUAUAAAUAUAAAGACUAAGUUCUAUUUUUUUUUAAAAAGUACAAUGACUUAUAUCAUAUUUGAACCUAAAGUAGCAUUAAAAAAAUUCAUUUUCGAGAGGAGUGUAGAUUAAACCUGAUCAUGGGUCAGGCCAUCCGCCCAAGCCCAAAGGUCUACUUGAAAAGCGGAAGGAUUUAGGCAAAAAUGCAAACUCGAAAAAUGGGCUCUAACAAAAAAUAAUGCUAGUUUUCUAAACGGGCCAGGCUUCAAGUAAGAAUUUUUUGCUCGAUUCGACCUGAAUCUGCCUAAUUUUAUUUUAUUUUUGCUAUUGUUUGCUAUUGCUUUGUUGUUGUUUGUUGCUGUUUUGCUAUCAUAUUACUAUCAUAUUGUUACUCUUUUGUUGUUAUUAUUUGGAUAUUAUAUAUUCUUGUUUUAUUGUUAAUUUUACUAAUAUUUUAGAGACAUUUGUUUGUUAAGUUGCAACUAUCUUAGUGUUAUUUAAGUGUAAAGACUUUUUAUUAUGAAUUUUUAAUUUGUUGGGAAAUAUUUAUUUUAAUGUUUUUAGUGUGUUAGAUGUAUUAUAUUUUUUAAUUUUAUUUUUAUAUAAAAAUUGUAAUACGGGCUAGCCAGGCUCGAGUUUACCACUUUUUAUCCGGGCUAAGAUUGGGCAAAAUUUUAGGCUCAUUUUUAAGUCGGGCUAGGCUCGGGGCUAGAAAAUGGGUCUAAAAUUUUGUUUUGGCUUGGCCCAUGAUCAGGUCUAGGUGGGAUGCUAUUUUCGAAACUACAAUUUUUUUUAAAAAAAAUGUUAUUUUGAUAAUUAAUUUGUUACUCAUGCUAUUUUCGUAAAUUGUUAUUUUUUAUCUAUAUUAUAUAUAAAAUAAGGGAGUUAUUAAAAAAAUUAUUUGUAAAAAAAAUUAUAUAAUUAUAUGGGUGUUUUUAACAUUUUAUAUUUUUAUAAAUAAAUAAAAAUAUCUAUAAUGAGAUUUGGACUAAAGACAUCGUGUAUAUAAAACUUUUUAAUUUACCAUUUAAACUUAAGUAACUUUUAAUUUUUAUAUGAAACUUUAAUAAGUAUGAUUGUUAUAUAAAUUUGUUGAUUGAGUUGAUGUCGCAAAUUAACGCGACAUUGACUUAGGAUUAAUGGUAACACCAUGAUAAAUAAUUGUAUCUAUUUGGUAUUCUUAAUCUAAUGUACUUUUUGUGUUUAAAUUUAGUUUUACUCACAAUUUAAUCUAUUUUUUUACAUUUUAAUAUUGUACAUAUUUCAUGUGUUAUUUUUAAUUAGUUCCAAAGUAACAUUUCAUUUUUAUUCUAUGUUAUUUCUAAACAUAAAUCUAUGUUCUAAAUAUGUGACUUUCAUACACAUACAUGUGUGAUAAAGUUUUAAAUAAAUUUAUAUAAAAAGGUUUAAAUGAAUCAAAAGCCCAUGUGCCCUUUCAAUUUUAAAAUUUAAUCCCUAUACUUGAAUUUUAAGACAUUGAGUCCCUAAACUUUUUUAUUUAAAAAUCUUGGUCCCUCCUUUAAUUUUGUCGUUAAAGUUAAUAAUGUCAAAGGUAAAAUAACAUUUUUGGCCCUAAACAUUGAUAGUUUUUUUAACAAUUUGGUCAUUAUCCUUUAAAAACACAUUUUUUAAAUUUUUUUUCAUAUUUUCAUUAAAAACAUAAAAAAAUUUAAAAAAUGAAAAUUUAUGAAAAAUAAAAAUCUUUAAAAGUAAAAAAAAUUAAAAUGAUUUUAAAAAUAUAAACAUAUAUUUCAAAUUUCAAUGUUAUCUAAAUUGGACCAGAUUGGUCAAUUAGGCCAGGAACUGGUUGGGGCACCGGUUUAAAAAUAAAAAACAAAAGAUUUUCCUUCCUGAAAUUUUUUUAUUGUUCUUUGUAAAUUCCAACUUAGCAAAUUUGACAAAAAAUUAAAUAGAGUUAGUAAUUGAACCAACAUUUUUAAAUAUAAAAAAGUAUAAGAACUUAAUGUCUCAAAAUUAAAAUAUAAUGACUAAAUUUUAUGGUUUAAUUUGUUGGAAAAUUAAACUGCGGCUGAAGAGAUGAAUAGAUUUGUUAAUGGGUUGGGCUAUUUGUCUAAGGAUGAGUUUGGGUGGGCGGUUGGGUUUAAUGCGGUGUGUUUAGUUUACUUUUUGUCUCAUACUACAGUAUCUAAUCUCACAGUCACUGCUAUUUUUAUACUAAUUGCAAGUAAACACACUGCUCAUCCAAACUCACCCUAAGUUCGAAAGUUCAUCCAAAAUUUGGGAUGGUUGGGACAAAAAUAUUAGGCUCAAAAUAUGAGUUGGGUAAAAAAUUUAGAUUCGUUUAAAAUACGGGCUUUAACAUUCAAGACUCAAGCCUGGCCCGUUUUUUAAGUUUGUAAUGUUUUAUAUUAUGUAAUUUAUAACACAUAAAAAUUAAACCUAUAAUAAUAUAUAAUACUACUAUAAUGUAAACAUUAAAUAACUUAAGAUGACUACAUAUAAAACUAUAAUACAAUAAAAAUUUAUAAAUUUAUUAAAUUUUAAAAUAAAUAUAAAUAUAUUUUUUAAAAUUUUAAAAAAUAAUAUGAGCAGGCUUUGACAAAAUUUUAGGCCCAUAUUUCAAAUUUAACCUAAUUUAAAUAAGCAUAAAGUGUAUUACAUACUUAAGUCCAAUCCAAAUUCGAUUCGAUUCGACCCGACCCAUUAGCCCUCUAUCAGGUGGUGGCUCAUGUGCGAAGACUUCUUGAUAUUGUAAUGUACACCACUAGUUUUUCCAAGCCUAAACAAAUACGAUUGCAAUCAUUGUUUUAACAAAUGGAAACAAAGAAAAAUUACAUUAAAAGAAAUGAAGAAGAGAGGAAAACAGAGGGAAAAGUAAAAGAGAAUGGAAAAUAAAGAAAAAAUAAAGGAAAGUUAAAAGAAUAUAAAAAGAAAAAAAUUAAAUAGCUCAAAAUGAAAAAAUAUAUGGAUCAAUUGUAGAAUUUAACCUAAAAUUUUCGUUUGAAAUGAUGAUUUAAUGUGCCACAUUAGCUUACCGUUACACCGUUAAUGACAAGUAACGGCUUAGUGACUAAAAUGUUACAACACAAUAAUGUAAGUGACUAAAACGUAAGAUUUCAAACAUAAGUGACUAGAAUGUAACCAGAGGUAAACAAAAGUGACUAUUUUUGUAGUUUACCCUAUUUUAACCUUUGUACUACAAAAUAUUUAUUAUUAAUAUUUUAAAAUAUUAAUAUUGAAUAUUUACAAUAUUAUGUGAAUAAUAUUAUUUAAAAUUUAUUAUUAAUAUAAAAUUAUUAAAUAAUUUGUUAAAAUAAUAAAUGAUAUUAAUUAUAUUAAUAAUUUAUUAUAUGAUUAAAUAUAAAUAAUUAAAUAUAAAUGUUUAAUAAUAUUAAAAAUUAUAAUAUUUUAAUAAUUUUAAAAAAUAAAAGUAAAAUUUAUUAUCAAUAUAAUAGUGGAGUUUUUUUUCAGAAAAUAAAUUACGCUUUUCGAAAAAAUAAGUCAUUUUAUAGAAAAAAAUUUAUUUUUCGUUGAUUUAUAAAUUAUUUUUUAUUGAGCAAGCUGUUUUCUGUAAACAAACAUAGGAAAAUGUAGAAAACAUUUAUCGGAAGUAAUUUUCUGUGAAACAAAUAGAUCCUAAGCUUUCAAAGAGAAAUCUUAGUCGAAGAGUGAUUUGAAUUAUAUAUAGAAGUAAUGUUAUAACUUAAUGAAUAAAUUUAGCUUAAAUCUAUUACUCUUUAGAUAAUAUCUAGAAACAUACAAAAUUUCCUAACUGCAAUAUAAAACUUGUAUUUAUAUCUUAUUUUUACACCGCUAAUAAAUCCAUUCGCAAUUGAGACUUGUAUUUAGAUGAAUUCUCAAAUUUCAAUUCCAUUUUCCUUUUCUUGGAGUAAAAUGGGCCCAUCAAAAGGGGCUUGUACGCCUAUUAUUCUCAACCAAGAAAAUCAGGAUCUACUUCAUUUUCAGAUACUGUUUGAGUCACUUUCAAUCCAGAAAAUGCCAGCAGCCCAUUGUUUAACUCAAUCCUGCCGGAGCCGAAUUUAAAGAAAGAAAAAGAUAAACAUCUAAUUUCUGAAAAAAGAAAAUAAAAGACUCUUUUGUUUCAAUAUGUCGUAAUUUGAGAAAAAGAAGAUGAAUUCAUGCAGGCCUGCUGAAGAAUGAUAAAAACAGUAACUAAAAAAUGAUUCUUUUGUUUCAAUAUGCAUGUACUGUUGGAUGUGGUACAAAUUAAAGAAAUGAAAUAAAAUAAGCCAAAAUCAUUGACUAAUUCAAUGACUUCAACCUAUAAAUGGCCAUUCAUUCAUGCAGGGACUCUCAAAGAAAUAGAAUUAAGAAUCUAAGUUAUAACUCUACCACAUACAAAAAAUUGAAGCCCUUCAGAUUUUCGUAGCCAUUUUCAUCUUGGCUCUUGCAUCGCCUUUGACCUUUGCCUCUGAUCCUAGCCCUCUUCAGGACUUUUGUGUAGCCAUUAAUGACCCCAAGGGCUCUGGUAUGUCUUCUCUUCAAAUACUUUCAUUUUUCUUGAGCUACUGGUGUCUGUGUCUAAUGUAUUUCUGGACAUGAACGGGAUAGAAUCUUAAGACCUUUUACACUCGUAUCUAUCACAUCCAUAUAUUCGACACUUAAAUUCAAGUUUUAGUAACAUGAACUCAUCUUUUCUUCUUCAUCUGGUAUUGACUAACAUUUCUUGCUUUCAUGCAGUGUUUGUCAACAGAAAAUUCUGCAAAGACGCAAAGCUUGCCAAAGCAGAUGACUUCUACUUUUCAGGUCUCCAUAUCCGCAAAACCACAUCCAACACAUUUGGAUCAAUUGUCACACCCCUUAACGUUGCACAAAUGCCAGGACUUCACACAUUGGGGAUAUCUAUGGUUCGAAUUGAAUAUGCAUCUAACGGUAGCCUGAACCCUCCUCACACUCACCCUCGUGCCUCAGAGAUUCUAGUUGUUCUGGAAGGCACACUCCAUAUCGGUUUCGUUACAUCGAAUCCAGAUAAUCGUUUGAUUUCUAAAGUCCUAUAUCCCGGAGAUGUCUUUGUUUUUCCUGUGGGUCUCAUUCACUUCCAAUACAACAUAGGGAAUGUUGAAAAGUCAAUUAAAGGGUGAGUUGAAAAGUCAAAAAUGGGAGGUGCAAGUGGCACCGAAAGGAAAAAUGGUAGGCAAGUUGUUUAAAAUUGAAUGGGAUAGUUGCAAUUUUGGUCCCUAAUUUUUUAGGCCAUUUGCAAGUUAGUCCCUGAACCUCAACUAUAAAUAGGCCUAACCAUUUCUCAUUUCAACCAUCCCAACCUAUCUUUCUCUCUUAGUUUUCUCUCUUCUCCCAUUUGAGAAUUCUUAAGGAAUUCUAUUUGUUUGUAAUAUUUUGGAAAUAGUAAAGUUAUCAUCUGGUGUUAGUGCCCAAGGACGUAGGUAUAAUUUACCGAACCUCGUUAAAACUCUUGUGUUCUUUCUUGUCCUAUUUUUCUUUCAAUAUUUGAGGGUAUAAUAGUAGUAUUUAAUUGUGCUAUUAAAUUACUAUAGAAGGGAUAUUCUGACUAAGGAAAGACUUUGUAUUUAAGAGAUCCUUGUGAUCCACCUCUCUUCCCUAGGAAUUGAACUUUGUGUGAUUUUUUAGUACAAUAAUUUACACGCUUCCAACCCUAUUGGAACAACAAGUGGUAUCAGAGCCGAAGGUUAAUCGUAGUAUGCUCUGUGGUUGCAGUUUAAACUGAUCUUCCACAUCAGAAAAGAUUUCCUUAGGUAUAUUGAAAGAUUAUGGAGAAAACGGUCGGUGUAGGAGCUUCAACAUCGUCCAUGUGGACAAGACCGACAAUUGCAAAUGUAAGAUUGACCGUGGAGAUCUUUGAUGGCACGGGUCAUUUUGGUAUGUGGCAAAGUGAGGUUCUAGAUGCCCUUUUUCAGCAGGGUCUAGACAUUGCCAUUGAUGAAGAGAAACCAGAUGAUGUACAGGAGAAAGAUUGGAAGGCGAUCAAUCGAUUGACAUGUGGCACAAUUCGAUCAUGCCUUUUUCGAGAACAGAGGUAUGCUUUUUUAAAGGAGACUUCUGCAAAUAAGUUGUGGGUGGCACUUGAAGAAAAAUUUUUGAAGAAAAAUAGUCAAAAUAAGCUCCACUUGAAGAAAAGACUGUUUCACUUCACUUACGUCCCAAGUACCACGAUGAAUGAUCACAUCACCAAAUUUAAUCAGUUAGUCACUAAUUUGUUAAAUAUGGAUGAGACAUUCAAAGAUGAAGAUUUAGCUUUGAUGCUGUUGGGGUCACUUCCUGAGGAGUUUGAGUUCCUAAAAACUACUCUACUUCAUGGCAGGAGUGAUAUAUCUCUGAGCGAAGUUUGUGCGGCCUUAUAUAGUUAUGAACAGAGAAAGAAGGACAAACAGAAAAACUUAAUCAGAGAUACAAAAGCUUUAGUAGUCCGAGAUCAUUCAUACACUCGGAAGAAAACUCAGAAAGGGAGAUCAAAGUCAAAGUCCAGACUCGGGAAAGAUGAAUGUGCCUUUUGUCAUGAGAAAGGCCACUGGAAGAAAAAUUGUCCAAAGCUGAAGAAUAAGGGAAAAGCUGCUGUAGAUGCUUGUGUUGCAAAGCAUGAUACCAGUGACUCUAAACUAUCACUGAUUGCAUCAUCAUCAUCGUUCCAUUCAGAUGAGUGGAUAUUGGAUUCGGGUUGUACCUAUCAUAUGUCCCCUAACCGGGAGUGGUUCUCUGAUUUAGUAGAACUAAAUGGAGGAGUUGUUUAUAUGGGCAAUGACAAUGCCUGUAAAACUGUUGGGAUAGGUUCAAUCCAAUUAAAGAAUCAAGAUGGAUCAACCAGAGUUCUGACUGAUGUUCGGUACAUACCCAGUUUGAAGAAAAAUCUCAUCUCAUUGGGAGCCUUAGAAUCCAAUGGUUCAGUUGUUACUAUGAGAGAUGGGAUUUUGAAAGUGACAUCUAGCGCACUUGUGAUAUUGAAGGGCAUCAGGAAAAAUAACUUGUAUUGCUACCAAGGUAGUACAGUUAUUGGAGCAGUCACUGCAGCUUCCGGUAACAAAGAAUUGGACUCAAUGCAGUUGUUGCAUAUGAAGUUGGGACAUGCCAGCGAAAAAUCCUUGCAAAUUCUGGCAAAGAAAGGAUUGUUAAAAGGUGCAAAGGCUUGCAAAUUAAAAUUUUGCGAGCAUUGUGUUCUGGGAAAGCAAAAGAGAGUGAAAUUCGGCACUGCUAUCCAUAAUACAAAAGGUAUUUUGGAAUAUGUUCACUCAGAUGUGUGGGGGCCUUCCAAAACACCUUCGUUGGGAGGAAAACACUACUUUGUUACUUUUGUUGGUGACUUUUCCAGAAGAGUUUGGGUGUAUACCAUGAGAACUAAGGAUGAAGUGCUUGGAGUUUUUCUUAAAUGGAAAACUAUGAUCAAAAACCAGACUGGCAAGAAAAUCAAGCGGCUUAGGACAGACAAUGGAGGGGAAUAUAAAAGUGAUCCGUUCUUCGAUGUGUGCCAAGAGUAUGGUAUUGUUCGACACUUCACAGUUAGGGAUACACCAUAGCAGAAUGGAGUGGCAGAGAGUAUGAAUCGAACAUUGCUAGAGAAAGUUCGAUGUAUGUUGUCCAAUGCUGGGUUAGGCAAGCAAUUUUGGGCUGAGGCUGUGACAUACGCUGGCAAUCUUGUUAAUCAUUUGCCAUCAUCUGCAUUAGAAAGAAAAACUCCUAUGGAGGUAUGGUCUGGAAAACCGGCUACAGAUUAUGAUUCCUUACAUGUGUUUGGAUCCACUGCAUAUUACCAUGUGAAGGAGUCAAAGUUAGAUCCGAGGGCAAAGAAAGCUCUCUUUAUGGGAAUCACUUCUGGAGUGAAGGGAUUUCGUCUUUAGUGCUUAAGCACAAAGAAAAUGAUUUGUAGCAGAGAUGUUCCCUUUGAUGAAUCUGCCACAUUGAAAAAGGUAGCAGAUGAAGAUAUUCAGACAAGCGAUACUCCACAGCAGGUGGAGUGUACUCCAAAACAGGUGGAGUUUGAGCAGAUGGGGAUUUGCCCAAUUAAUAAGUCUAAUUCUCCAGCCACAAUGGAGGAAUUAGAGGUUGAAGAGGUUCUGACCCAAGAACCAUUAAGUACACCAGAACCAGUUGUAGUUGCAAGGCCACGGAGAGAAAUUCGUAAACCUGCUCGGUUUACUGAUAUGGUGGCCUACGCCCUUCCCGUUGUUGAUGAUGAUAUUCCUGUCACUUAUCAAGAAGCAAUGCAAAGCUUAGAAAGUGACAAAUGGAUAUGCGCCAUGGAUGAAGAAAUGCAGUCUCUCCGGAAGAACAAUACUUGGGAGUUGGUGCAAUUAUCGAAAGGUAAAAGGGCAAUCGGAUGCAAGCGGGUAUUCGCAAAGAAAGAUGGAUCUCCUAGCAAGAAAGAUGUUCGCUACAAGGCAAGAUUGGUAGCAAAAGGCUACGCUCAGAAGGAGGGAAUUGACUACAAUGAUGUAUUUUCCCCUGUUGUGAAGCAUUCCUCCAUUAGAAUUUUGUUGGCCUUGGUAGCACAGUUGAAUUUGGAGCUAGCUCAACUUGAUGUUAAGACGGCUUUCUUGCAUGGUGAGUUAGAAGAGGAGAUCUAUAUGACUCAACCCGAAGGAUACACAAAUGCUGGUGGUAGAAAUUGGGUUUGUAAGCUAACAAAUCGCUAUAUGGAUUGAAGCAAUCCCCAAGGCAGUGGUACAAGCGAUUUGAUAGCUUUAUGAGAAGGCAGAAGUACACAAGAAGCAAAUAUGACAAUUGUGUGUAUUUGUAGAAGCUGCAUGACGGAUAUUUCAUUUAUCUACUCUUGUAUGUUGAUGCUAUGUUAAUCGCUUCGAAGAGCCAAAAAGAGAUAGAUAAGCUGAAGGCUCAGUUGAAUCAAGAGUUCGAGAUGAAAGAUCUAGGUGAGGCCAAGAAGAUUCUCGGCAUGGAGAUAAGUAGAGAUAGACAGAGAGGCAAGCUUUGUUUAAAUCAGAAGCAAUAUCUGAAAAAGGUAUUACAAUGUUUUGGUGUAAAUGAAAGCACAAAACAUGUAAGUACCCCACUUACUUCUCAUUUGAAACUCAAUGCUCAAUUAUCUCCGAAGACUGAAGAUGAAAGAGAAUAUAUGGUGAAAGUCCCAUAUGCUAAUGCAGUUGGGAGUUUGAUGUAUGCGAUGGUGUGUACGCGGCCUGACAUUUCACAAGCUGUUGGAGUUGUGAGCAUGUAUAUGCAUGAUCCUGGAAAAGGACAGUGGCAAGCUGUGAAAUGGAUUCUACGGUAUCUUCGAAAAACCGUAGACGUUGGUUUAAUUUUUGAGCAGGAUGAAGCACUUGUUCAGUUUGUAGUUGGAUAUGUUGAUUCCGACUUUGCUGGUGAUUUAGAUAAAUGUCGUUCAACUACGGGGUAUCUGUUUACUCUUGCGAAAGCCCCAGUGAAUUGGAAGUCUACCUUACAGUCUACAGUAGCUGUGUCUACUACAGAAGCGGAAUAUAUGGCAGUUACAGAAGUUGUUAAGGAGGCUAUUUGGCUUAAUGGAUUGUUGAAAGACUUGGGAGUUGUUCAAAGUCACAUUAAUCUAUAUUGUGACAGUCAGAGCGCUAUUCAUUUAGUGAAAAAUCAAGUCUAUCAUUCAAGAACCAAGCAUAUCGACGUAAGAUAUCACUUUGUGCGGGAAGUCUUUGAAAAAGGAAAAAUUCUACUUCAGAAGAUUCCGACCGCAGAUAAUCUCGCAGAUAUGAUGACCAAGGUGGUAACAACAAUCAAGUUUAAUCAUUGUUUGAACUUGAUUAACAUCCUGAAAAUUUGAGCACCUUCAGGUGUAUGGCGCUCGAAAGCGCAUUUGGAGGCACUACAAAAGAUAGCUUUAUCGAAUUUGGGGAGUUGAAGGAAGUAUGUGAAGAUGUGAUUAUCCUAAUCAAAUCUUCAAUGUGGAGAAUGUUGAAAAGUCAAUUAAAGGGUGAGUUGAAAAGUCAAAAAUGGGAGGUGCAAGUGGCACCGAAAGGAAAAAUGGUAGGCAAGUUGUUUAAAAUUGAAUGGGAUAAUUGCAAUUUUGGUCCCUAAUUUUUUAGGCCAUUUGCAAGUUAGUCCCUGAACCUCAACUAUAAAUAGGCCUAACCAUUUCUUAUGUCAACCAUCCCAACCAAUCUUUCUCUCUUAGUUUUCUCUCUUCUCCCAUUUGAGAAUUCUUAAUGAAUUCUAUUUGUUUGUAAUAUUUUGGAAAUAGUAAAGUUAUCAUCUGGUGUUAGUGCCCGAGGAUGUAAGUAUAAUUUACCGAACCUCGUUAAAACUCUUGUAUUCUUUCUUGUCCUAUUUUUCUUUCAAUAUUUGAGGGUAUAAUAGUAGUAUUUAAUUGUGCUAUUAAAUUACUAUAGAAGGGAUAUUCUGACUAAGGAAAGACUUGGUAUUUAAGAGAUCCUUGUGAUCCACCUCUCUUCCCUGGGAAUUGAACUUUGUGUGAUUUUUUAGUACAAUAAUUUACACACUUCCAACCCUAUUGGAACAACAAGGAACACCUAUGCUGUCGCCUUUGCUGGUCUUAGCAGUGAAAACCCAUGGGUGAUCACUAUUGCAAAUGCAGUAUUUGGCUCGAACCCUUCCAUUAAUGCUGAUAUUCUUGCCAAGGCCUUUAAUCUAGAUAGGAAAAUGGUGAAGAAUCUUCAAUCCAAAUUCUGAUGGGAUAACAUUCGAAGGAAUGUUCGAAUGAUGCUUGAAUUUGUCAUUUGUUAUUUAUAGUAAAAUUAAAUUUUAUUUUUUUCUAAAAUAUAGAAUAAAAGAAGUUGUUUAUGAGCCUCAUCUUAUGUUUGUUUGAAUUUUAGCAUUCUAUAAAAUUGAAAAGUGGUCUUUAUUUGAAUGCAUAAGAAAUAUUUGAGUAACAAAUUGUGAAUUGAGUUUUAAUUCGAUUGGUAUGGGUAUUGUUGUCAAUGUAAAAAAUUCUAGGUUCGAGUGUGCUGAAAUUUAUUAUCCUCCUAUUCCUGAGUUGGGAGGGGCUAUGAGUAAUUUUAAGUAUUCUCUCAAAAAGAGCAGAUAUAAUUAGAACUUAUAAUGAAAUUAUUAAAAAAAAAACAAAUUAGAUCUUCAACUCUACUCGUCAUUUUAUUUUACUUAUUUUUUUUAUUUUAAUAAUUCAAUUAUUAUUUUCAUUUCAAGAAAAAUAAGGACGUGGAUGUCAAUAGUUUUUGAGGUAAAAUAAAACAAAAAUAAUAGUUAAGUAAAAAUAUAAAAUACUAAAAUGAGAAAAUUUUUAUACUUUAAAUUUCAAACUGUGAUAUAAAUUUAUAUCUAAAUUUGAGCCAAAAAUAUUAAACAAAACAUAAAAACAUGUUUUUAUUUCAAUUGAAGUUUAAAUAUUAUUCGCUUACGGCACGUUUGGUUCACUGGAAUAGAUUAGGACUAUAAUGAAAUAGUCAUUCUGUGAGAAUAGAAUAAGACUAUAAUGGAAUUGAAUAGCAUAAUAGUGGUUUGGUUGGAUGGAAUGGAAUGAGUAUUGUAAUAGUAUUAAUGUGUUUGGCUGAGAGGAAUAGAUAUGUAAUAGCAAAAAAGAUACUCGAAUGAUGAAUAUGCCCUUUAAUAAAUUAAAUUAAAUUUUUAUUUUUGUAAAAAUAUUAAAAAACCAAAAACGUUAAAUGCUAAAAUGACAAAUAUACACUUUAAUUAAAUUUAUUGAUCAUUUUGUAAUUUUUUAAAAUUGAAUGCCCAAAAUGUAAACUUACUAAUAGUUUAAUGACAUUGGGUGUAGUUUACCCAUAAAAACCCACCAAAUACCCAAGCCCACUCGUCCACCAAAAUUCCAAAAGCCACCAGCCAUCAUCACUUUCUUCCCCAUUUUCAGUUCACGAUAAUUCUUUUCCUUUCAACCAAAUUUUCCACCAACAAUUGUUCUUAAAAUUACUUCAUUUCAACAUUUUUAUUUUAUCUAAAAUGAUAAAAUCUUUAUCCUUCAAUUCUUUUUUUUUUCUGACAUGAAAUCUGAGAUUUUAUUAAUAUUAACUCAAGCUCAGUAAUCUCACACACCAUAAAAAAUAAAACUAAAAAGAAACAUAAAUAGACUAGAUGGAAAUCAGGCCAAUCCUAAAAACCAAAAAUGAAGUUCCUAAAAAAAGCCUAAUGGGAACUAGCCCAAUCCUAAAAAAUUGUUAUCAAAACUUUCCUAAACCCUAACUUGACCUUUUGACUUUGAAAACUUCUUUCCAACCUUAGCAAAGACCAGUCGCUCCUCCUUUGUAACACCCCUAACCCGAAUCCGUCCUAGGAAUAGGGUUACGAGGCAUUACCAAUCAAUCACAUCAAUAUCACAUAAUUUAAACAUUCAUAGUCAUAAUUAUACAUAACACCAACAAAUUGUCCCUUACAAGGCUCUUCAAGGCCUCACAACAUGUUUAGAAGUGGUUCGGGACUAAACCGAUAACAUUUGAAAACUUUAGGAAACUUAGAAAAUUUCCCAACAUUUUAGGGGCACACGCCAAUGUGAACAGGCCGUGUGUCUCACACGGUCACCAGACAUGCCCAUGUCAUAGGCCGUGUGAAAACAGGGCAUACAUACUGACUUCACCACACGGCUGGAGACACGCCCAUGUGCCAUGGCCGUGGGAAAUCUGAAGGGUAUACUGACUUGGCCACACGCCUAUGUGCUAGCCCAUGUGACACACACGGCCAGUAGAAACGCCCGUGUGUCUAAGCCGUGUAACUUUCUAACUUGUAUAGUUAAGUUACAGGGGCACACGGUCAAGCCACACGCCCAUGUGCUCAACUGUGUGGGGCAAAAUUAGGCUUUUUUUAAGCCACUUUUCCUCACCUAUAAUCAAUCACCUUAAAGCAAACAUAUAACACCUUACUCACAUCCAAUUUGGCAGCCAAAACAACUAUUUCAAUACAUAUUAUAAGCCAUUUCAAAAUCAAGCACUCAUAUACUCAAAUCAAUACCAUUUGUACAUUCAAACACAUACCAAACUAGCAUGAUUCAUUCCUCAUUACUCACCUAUUCAAUCAUAUACCAAAGUACAUAUCAUACUCAUCAAAACAACCUAUUUCAAUAUGUAUUUUUACUACCAUCAAUCACACACAUAGUGUGAUGAGAUCUCCGACGACUUCCGACCUGAGCAAGCUUUUGAAACUCUAUAAACAUAGAAAAGAAAAAAAGUAAGCUAUAAAGCUUAGUAAGCUCGUAUGGAAAUAAACUCAUAUCAUUAAAUAACCGCAUUUUAAACAAUUACUCAAAUCAUGAUAUAAUUCAUAUGAUUUCACCAUUCAAUCUCGAAUUCAUGUACAUAGAUGAUCAAAAUUUUCAUGAGUUUAUUCAUUCAAAACACGUAUAGUUUGAAUACUUUUUAUCAAUUCAUUCACAUUUUCAUAUGCAUAAGCAACUAUUUAUAAACUUUAUUCAAUUCAAGAUUCAUCGAUUUUUCCAAUGCCAUAGUCCAACUAUGGUCUUACACAUACAUUGCUAAGGCCUUGCUUUGGUAUUUCUUUCACAUGUCAUAACCCAGUUAUAGUCUUAUAAGUCAAUUUCCAUAGUCCAACUAUGGUCUUACUCGGUAACUUACCUUUUUCAACUCAUACUUUUCAUUUAAUAACUGAACAUUUAUUCAAUUCAUACUUCAUUAUAAUCAAAUAAACACAUUUUGACAUGAAACAUACUUAUACACAAUUAUUUCUUAUUUAAUAUACAUAAUACAAUAUGAACUCAUCAAUUUACUUUCAUUCGAUUCUCACAUAGGUUCUGUGCGUACCUGUAUUACUUAUUCUGAUUAUACUUUACUUCUCAUCUUGACUAUGCUCGUUGAACCAUUCGAAAUUGUUAAGGAUACUUGGAAAUCCCAUAAAGCUCUUACAAUAACAUAUCCCAGAUAUGGUCUCACAUGUUAACACAUAUCGAUGCCACUGUCCUAGACAGGGUCUUACACGAAAUUGAUUAACGAUGCUGAUGUCCCAGACAGGGUCUUAUACGUAAUCAUAUAAUGAUGCCAAUGUCCCAGAUAUGGUCUUACACAUAAUCACAGUACAAUGCCAAUGUCCCAGACAUGGUCUUACGUGGAAUCUCAUCUAGGUAAUCCUAAUGUCAUGACAUUUGUAUCCUAUACUAUUCCUAAGGUUCGUACGGGACUUUCAGACGCUGUUAACUUUUUUGAUUUUGACUUGUAAUCAUAACCAUUCAGCAUUCAAUUCUUCAAUUCAAUAAUAAAUAAGCAUUUAUAACACAAUUUAAAUAUGUUUAUCAGCAUACGAACUUACCUCGUUCACUGUAACGAUGAAUUAGGUCGACUAAUUUGAUACUUUGUUUUCUCCUAUUCUAGAUCUGAAUCUCAUUUUUCUCAAUCUAUAUAACAACAAAAUUUACUUAUUUAAUCAUUAAUUCAUUCAAUUUAACACAAUUUACACAUUUUGGCAAAAUUACACUUUUGCCCUUGUCGAAACCAUUUUUUAUAGGGAAAAACGGGGAUCGACUUUUUGAAAUAAAGUGCGGAGUCGCCACCAGUCUUUUUGUUUAGGUGUGAUUGGAUCACCUAAUAAAACAUUUUGUUUCAUUUAAAUUAAUUUUGGUCCACAUAAAUUUAAGAACGGGUUUGGGAGUCGGUUAUGUAUGAGGAAGGGUUAGCACCCUCACUACGCCCAAAAACUGGUACCAGAUUGAUUAAUUUGCUGUCCUUAUGUCUAGUUUUUUUCAAAAAAUUUGAAAUAUGAUUCCUUUUAAAACGUUUGAGUAGUUUAAGUUGGUCGUCAACACUUUCUCGUUUCAAAGGCAUAAAGCAUCACAUCCAGCACGAUAGGACAUGAUCUUUUAUACUUUUGAGAACACGAUUGAGUUUUGACUUCCAAAAGCUCUUAUGUCAAAAAUUACCAAAGCAUAUCCAAAUAUUUAGUUAUACGAAAAAUCGAAACCCAGCAUGGUAAGGCACGAUUUCUCGAACUUCUAAAUACUGAACAUUGCCUUGUUUUUGUAAAUUUUCCAAUAAACAAUUAUGAAACCGGCUCAAAAUGCAUUUAUUUGGUUCGUUUGGGAUAUAAAAGAACAAAACAAUUAAAAAUUGGGCCCAAAUACGUGGAAGACGAAACAUGGUAUCAAGCAUAGCACAAAUAUAUGUGAAUUCAACAUAAAAUUACACUAUUGAAUAACAAAGAUAAUAAUGCGAACAUACAAUUUGACAUAUACAAUAAUGAUCUCCCAUCCCUUCAUAUUGAAGUAAUAUUAACAAUCAAAGCCUGAUGAACUUCCUUUUUCGAAAAUAUAUAUAUAUAUAUUAUAACAUUUACAUGACAAAUUAAUAAAAUGUAAAACAAAUUUUGAAGGGUAAUAAAAGAAUUUAAAAUAAAUGAAGGAAGAAAAAAAAUUUGAAACCAAUACAUGUAUGUAAUUUUAAACUAAAUUAUAUGUACAAAAGUUUUAAAAAUAGGCAACAUAUGAGAGAAUUCAAAAUAAAGUUUGAAAUCAAUGAAAUACAAAACAAUCUGAAUUAAAAUUGAUAGCAUACAUAAAAUGCAAAACUUAAUAGAAUUAAUAUAUAUAUGUAGAAAUAUAAGAGUUGAAAAUGUUAAUAUAUAUAUAUAUUAUAUAAUAAAGUAGGCUCUUUGUAUAAACAUAAUAUAUAUAUAUAUGUCCAUAAAUUCAAGAUAUACAUAAAAUAAUAUGAAAUCAACACUAUAUAAAAAAAAUAAUGUAUAAUAUAAAUUUUAAAACAAUAUAUAAGGUAUAAUGUAUAAAUUUUGAAAACAAAAAUAUAUGUAUAAAGAAAAUUUUAAAAUAGAAAUUUUACAUAGUAGAACAAUUUAAAGAAACGAUUAUAAAAAUGAAUGAAAAAACAAAUUAAAGCAAUAUAUAAAAAACUAUGUUAAGAUAAUUAAAAAAAAUCUUAAAUAAAAUUGAAUAAAAACAUAAAUUUAAAAACUCGAUUGAAAUAAAAAUAAGAUUAAGAGGACAAUCUAUAAACAAAUAAGAUUAAUAAAACCAAAGAUUAGACUAAGAUGAAACAUGCACCAAUGGUUAGGUAUCUAAAAUACAAAUAUCCCAAGCUUUGAAACGCGACAUUUAAACAAGGACCAAAUUGCAGCAAUGCAUAAACCACAGGGAAAAUGUAAAAACAAAUAAACAGAAUCAAGGCCGAAAAACAGAUCAAUGCAGGAUAGGAGGGACUCGUCGUGCAAAUUGACCAAUUAAGGUGAAAAGGCACGGAUCCGGGCCUCCAAACGGGUCAACGUGUGGAUCCUUUCUUUACCAAAUGGCGCUGUUUCAUAUGCUUCAGAAAAAAAAAGAGAAAAACCCUAAAUGAACCCUUAAUCUCCUUAAACAAAAAAAACUAAGCUUACUAUCUCUCUUAUUCAGCAGAAUUAAAAUCAUCGGCCAUUUUGCCUCUAUACUCGGUGGAUAACAGCAUAUGAAGGCUUAUCCUGGCCUUAUUCGACGCAAAUAUGAGGGUUUUGUUAUGCUCAACCUCAAUCCCCAUCUAGCUUCGAUUACCAUGAAGCAAACAAGGAUUCGAAACCUCCUAAGCAAAAUAAGUAUUUGUGCUUUCAUUUAUUUUAUUUUUUACAUACAAUAACAAAAGAUUAAAGAAAAAUGGAAGAGAAAACGAAAGAAAAAAAUAAGAUUUACAAUCACCUCUUCAAAACUGUUUUUCCUCUAGUCAAACUUUUUGUACAGAUUUGUAUGCGUAAAUCCCCCCCAAAUACACUGUUGCACUUGGCUUUUUAGAGCCAAAAAUGAAAAAAAUUAAACACACAUUUUCUGCUUUCUAUUUUCUCCUUUGCUGUAUUCAGUUGUGGUUUGUUAAUUUGUUGCAGGAGGAUCCAGUUGGAGGUGAUGGCGCACGUGGAGCGUGAAGCAAUGACGCGGGUGGAAGCUGGCACGAAGGCAGCAGCGACACAAGGGAAAGAAACCCUAGGGUUUCUGUUCAAAAGUGUCCUGGGCUGUUUGGGCAUUGGGCCACUAUAAUUGGGUCGGGUUUUAUUUGGGCUUGGUUUAGUUGUUGGGCUGUUGUAAAUGUACUAUGUACAAUUAUUAUUUGGAUUUUAUUUUGUUAUUUUGUUUUGCUUUUUUAUUUUGGUUCUGGUAUGGGCCCGGGAGAAAUAGGCCUAUUACAGCCCUAUUAUUUCACAUUUUUGCAAUUUAGUCAUUAUCACAUAAAAUUACAAAUUCAUGCAAUUAAGGACAAACCCAUGCUAGCCGAAUUUUACCCAUACUACUAGCAGCCCAUAUUUCCAAAUGAUCACACUUUCAACCACAAAAUUUCAAUAAUUCACAAUUUAGUCCAAAAUUGACAUUUUUACCAAAAUUCACUUUACAAAACUUAUAUAUCUAACAACAAUAAUUUAUUUUAUAUCAUUAAUUAGCAAAAUAUACACUUAAUCAACAAUGGUAAAAUUCACAUACUUUAACAGUUCAGAAAUCGGAGAUACAAGCUAGCUAGAUUAAGCUGUAACAAUCUCAAAAUCGUAAAAAUUAUUAAAAACGGAACAAAAUUGAGCUUACAUGCAUUCAAUUCUCCAUGGCCGAAUGCUUCAAGCUAUUAUGGUUUUCUCUUCUUCCAUUUUUUUUGAAGAAACAAGAGAAAUAAAAAUGCAUGUGUUAUUUUGUUUUAUUUAACUUAACUUAUUAACUAAUUUACUAAAAUAUCCUUUGAUUAAAACAUUCAAAAUUCACUAUUUCAUGCAUAAAACCGUCCACUUGCAUUAUAAAAGGGCUAUUUGCAACAUAAAACCCUUAGCUAUUUAAUUUCAUAGCCAUUAGAUACAUUUAACUAAUAGAACACAAGUUUUAUGCUUUACGCGAUUUAGUCCUUUUUACCGAAUUAAACACUUAAACAGUAAAAUUUCUUAACGAAACACGAACAUUCUAUCAUACUACAAACCUUAAUAAAAUAAUAAAAUAAUUAUUUUGACUUCAGAUUUGUGGUCUCGAAACCAAUUUUCCGGUUAACCAUAAAAACGAAUUGUUACAACUCUCCCCCCUUAGGGAUUUUUGUCCCCAAAAAUCUUAUCAGAGAAUAGAUUAGUGAUUCGCUUUCACUAGCCUCAUAAAUUUCUCAAAUUUUUAAUCUCACAAGUUAUGAUUAUGAUCCGUUCCUCAAUAUACAUCAUAUUAGGCUGAAUUUCAACUUCUGAAAGAGAUAUUAUAGACAAAAGGUCUUAUCUGUAUCGUCACAUCUCAUAUAUAUAUAAGAAACAUAUGAUGAAUCUUCUCAAGUUCUGAUGGUAAUAUAAGUGGAUAAGCCACUAGUUUUUUUCUCUCAAUAAUCUCAUACGACUAAUUCACAGUAACACUUUCACAAACACUCAGUUCACUAACUGAAAUUCAAUGCUUUUACGUAUUAAGUCCACAUAUGUUUUCUGUCAAUCUGAAACUGCUUUCAGACUGUCGCGAAUUACUUUCACCUUCUCUUUUGUCUCUCUAAUUACAUUGGUCUCGUAAUUCUUUUUAUCACUGAUCUCAUAUAAAACUUCGUACGGUGCUAUCUUAUGCUCAACUGAUAAAUUAUUUUUAUACGUAACUCAAACAACGAUAAAUAUUUUUUUCAAAUUCUAAAACAUAACAACGAUCUAUUACCUUGAGAAUCUGAAUCUCUCCCUCAGAUUAGUCAUCUGAAAUAAUGGAGUCUGGCACACUGUGUGAUCUAAAAAUCUCUAAAAUGUAUAACUCGGCUAAUCUGUCAAAAGAGAAAUUCGUACGUACGGAGAUAAAAUAUGCAGACUUCCUCAAACAAUCAACAAUAGUUCAGAAAACAUCUGUCUUUUACAAAAUUUAUCAAAAUUCUAUUUCAUUACCACUCAGAUAGCAACACAUGCUAUAACAGUCUUGAAACACUUGAUGAUCAGCAUUAACUUGUUGAUAGAUCAGACAUUUGGAUACAAAGUCAGAAAUAUCACGUUUCAAACUCAUUCACCAAUACAACUGUCUUAGAUUAUUGUACAUCUUAGUACUCUCUAGAUGAACAAAUAAUUAACACUAUGAGCUAUAUGUAACAAUUGUUGCAAAAUUUCUGGAUUUCUCGAUACACGAACUCUAUUUUGAUACAUCAAAUAAUCAUCGGUUCUAAACUGAAAUUCUGAAUCACGAAUCAAUUUAUGUUAAACCCCUUUUUAACUUGUAAUUCACUGACACACUUCUUAGCCUCACAAAUUCGCUGAUUAAACAUCAAUUUAGUUUCUAGCUCAACCAAUAACUACUCAUCAUCUGAUAAGAUUAAUCGCAUGUUUAUCGGUCGUAAAACACACAAAGAUUUUUUGUCUCAGAACAUCUGAGACUAUAAUAAUUUGCCUAGGGUGAUAAUUAAUCAUUAACUCAUAAUCUUUAAACAGUUCAAACCGUCUUUACUGUCUCAAAUUUAGAUCUUUCAGAAACAUCAAAUAUUUUAAACUCCUGCAGUCAACAAAUAGGUUACAUUACUCACCAAACAAUCAAUGUCACUAACUAUUCAAUGUGAAUACAUUAUCAAUCAUCUCUAAUUCACAUGUAGUAUAAUUCUUUUCAUGCAGCUUUAAUUAUAUGUAAGCAUAAGCUGUCACUAUACAUUCUUGUAUUAGGACACACUUCAAACCAUUCAAUGACGCAUGAUUGAAAAUCACGAACCCUUUACCUGACUCAGGCUGAAUCAGUACUAAUAUUUUAGUUAACAAUGUCUUCAACUGUUUACUACUUUAUUAAUAAAUAUCAUAUCGUGCAAACUUCACAAGCGAGAUCUACAAGACAUUUCUCAAUAAAACCGUUCUAAUUGAUAAAAUUCUGUAUCAUAUCUUCUAGAAUAUGAAUUCUGCAUUAAUAAUAUUCAUCUAUUUACCCGUGAACAUUAAAAAUUUAUUUCCAGCCUUGUGGAUAGAUUCAAAUACAAGUAACUCGAUUAAUUCUUCAAGAACGGUCUUAGUUGUCAAAUAAUAACUUUUCAAAGAAAACCUUUCUUCUUGUUGUCAAGAUAACUCAGACAUACAAUUAUCACAAUUUUCUUCAGAAUACUAAUAAAAAAUCUUUAAAGACUGCAUAAUUCAAAGAAUACUAAUAAAAAAUCUUUAAAGACUGCAUAAUUCAAACAUAACGUAACAUCCUGCUUUCAACUCAUUGACAUUUAUCAAGAUUACCUAGAAAUGAUAACCGAUAUACAAGUUUGAGCGUAAUCUUUCAUCGUUUACACUUUUGCCGAUGUUAAACCUUUUUCAAGAAACUAGAAAGGAUUAUAUAAUAAAGCUAUCUCAACUAUUAAUCAUCGAAGCAUUGAACUAUACUGAAGCCACUUCCAUCAUAUAUAAAUCAUAAUGCCAUAAUAAGGCCAUUGUCUAAAUAGUAUAAAUAGAUAGAAUCCCAGUUGUUAAUAACACAUUUUGAACACAAAAGAAAUCAAAUAUGGUUUUCUCAGCAACCAAUACACAAACACAACUUCUAUGAAUCUAAUAACUAUACCACUGUACUCCCAGGAUCAAACCAGAAAAUUUAAAUCAUAUUAGAUAUAGUCAUCUCCGUUAAAGAAUAUCUCUUGCAAACAAUCACAUAGAAUCAUAAGAAAACCAAGAUACUGUAAUCCCAGAUAUAAUACUAUACUGAACUUUUGAAAGUACCAUAUCAGAUGAUAAAUAUCUCGAUGAUGUCUCAGAGGAAAUCCAGAAGUAAAGCAUCACUCAUAUGCAUUGGAAUCAAUGGUAACAGAAGCAAUAUAAUAUUAAUGUAUAUUCGAUAGAACAAUACCUAAUAGAAACAGAAUACUAACAUCAUACAUAUUUUAUUGUUGACCUUCUAUCAACACAAUGUAAUAAAAUUCCUGAGAAAAAAUAAAAUAAUAUCGCUCAAAACCCGAACAACCCAACAACACUUUAAUAAAUCAGUAUAUUUAAAUAGCGUUAUCAUAUGAUAAGAAUUUCAUCUAAAAACAUACAGUUAUACAUACAUCUGAGGAUAAAUUUACACAUAGAAUACCCAGAAAAAACCAUCGUAACUGCCCAACUAUAACUACUGCACUCAGUUAUCAUUUCAAUUCAAACAUUAUUCCACUAUUUAAUUCUGUUAUCACUGAUUUCAUAUUAUCCCAUCACUAAUAGAAAUCAAUUCAGAAAAACUUCCAGCUAAUACAUUCUUUAGAUAUCAUACCUGAAUAUGUUGUUUCAUCAAAGUUAACUUCUUCUUUAACAGUGACAUUGCAUAAUCUGAAUAGCCUUCAGAACAAUCCGAUAUAUCUUCUAGCACUGUCUCUACUUGUUGACUUAUUCUUUUAUUUGAUCACAGUAUUAAUCCUUCAAUUACGGAACUCUAUAAUUCCACACUUGUGAGCUUAUUCAAUCUAAUAUUACGGAUUUUAUUGUAAUACUUUACCGAUGGGGGGUGAGGGUUGUAAGCUUAAAAUUUUAACUCUCACGUAAACAUGCACAUCACAUAUACUAUUAUGAAUGACCAGUUCAUUACUAAUUCCACAUUCUCAAAACACCUAACAAUCAUUUACUUAUGAUCGCUUUUGUACUUAACACAUAGCUCAUAAGCUAAAUCAAAUCAUUAAUUCACAAUCAAAAUAUUUACAUAGCAAUCAUAGACCAAACAUCACAGCUCAUAUGCUCAUAUAAUUAUAACAUUUAUCAAUAGCAGGAUAUCAUGCACUCUGAUUCAUACCUAUAUGAGUUUUAUCUCAUCACCAACACAUUUUCACUCAAACAUUUGAGUGUAAUAUUUUGUACUAUCAAAAUUAGCUCGAUUGGAAAGUAUAUCUGUCUAAUUAAAACAAUUCUCGUCAGAAUCGGAAGACAUCACACUAUCAUAGGUUAGAUAUGACAUGUAUAGCUAGACUCUCACACUCUAUAUUAGUUUUAGAAUCGACUAAACCGUAGCUCUGAUACCAAUAAAAUAUAACACCUCUAACCCGUAUUCGUUGUCAGAAUAGGGUUACGAGGCAUUACCGAUCAAUCACAUCAAUAUCACAUACUUUAAACAUUCAUAGUCAUAAUUAUACAUACAACCAUCAAAUUGUCCCUUACAAGGCUCUUCAAGGCCUUACAACAUGUUUAGAAGUGGUUCGGGACUAAACUGAUAACAUUUGUAAACUUUGGGAAACUUAAAAAAUUUCCCAACAUUUUAGGGUCACACAUCGGUGUGAACAGGCCGUGAGCCUCACACGGUCACCAGACACGCUCGUGUCAUAGGCCAUGUGAAAACAGGGCAUACAUACUGACUUCACCACAUGGCUGGAGACACGCCCGUGUGCCAUGGUCGUAGAAAAUCUGAAGGGUAUACUGACUUGGCCACAUGCCCAUGUGCCAGCCCAUGUGCCACACAUGGCCAGUAGACAUGCCCGUGUGUCUAAGCCGUGUAACUCUCUGACUUGUAUAGUUAAGUUACAACAAGCACACGGUCAAGCCACAUGCCCAUGUGCUCAACCGCGUGGGGUGAAAUUAGGCUUGUUUUAAGCCACUUUUCCUCACUUAUAAUCAAUCACCUUAAAACAUACAUAUAACACCUUACUCACAUCCAAUUUGGCAGCCAAAACAACCAUUUCAAUACAUAUUAUAAGCCAUUUCAAAAUCAAGCACUCAUAUACUCAAAUCAAUACCAUUUGUACAUUCAACCAAAUACCAAACUGGCAUGAUUCAUUCCUCAUUACUUACCUAUUCAGUCAUAUACUGAUUAGUGUUUAAAUUAUACAUUAUUUCAUAGCUGAUUACUCCUUUAUUAGCUAUUUUGAGUUGCUAACUUGGCAUUUUUCAUUCCUUUUUGAUUCAGGAUAUUGAAUUGUAGAAAUUGAGCUUAAGUCGACGAAAUUGAGCAAUUUUGGAUUUUCUGGAUACAUGGCCGAAUUACUGGGCGUGACUUGGGGUAUGAUGUCGCUGACAUGGCGUCGAGUUAGCAAUUUCUAGAAGGUCUAGUCAGCAAUUUCUAAAAGGCAUUUGGCAUGGAGAAAGAGACUUAACCGCCUAUUUAAAUUCAAAUUAGGAUUAAGAUUUAUAUUUAUUUGUUUAUUUAGGAUUUUUAUCUUAAUUUUGAAUCCUAUUUUUUAGGAUUUUUUAGGACUAUAAAUACCCCAUUGGGGUAAGCCUCAAAGGGGGGAUCUAUCCAUCGAGCAUUCUUCACUUUACAUUUAUUAAACUCUUUGUUUCUUUCUAGUUUUAAUAAAUUUCUCUUUUUGAUUCAAUUUUUACUUUAUUUUAUUAAAAUGCUAAGUAUGGUCUCUACCAUGCUUAGCUAAGUUUCCCAUAGCCAAAGGCUAAAGUGAUGACUCGAUUCUAAGUCGUGAGAAUCGAAAAGCACUUCAUACCCUUGAGGGUUACAUUUUCAGUUUUCGGGAAUCAAGGAUUGGUAAUCGACCAUCCUUUUAUAAUCAAAUCGGUUUGAUUUCAAAAAGUGCACGUUGGAAUAAAAUUUAUUUUCGAUUAACAGUUGGGAGGAAGGAUCGGCCUGUGGCACUUCGACUUCCUGUGAACACGCUUAGCGGCGGUCCGCUAAGGGAAACUAAAAUUAGGUUAGAUUCUUAUUUGAGAAGACAGAAUCUGGGUCGGGUUUUUCUAGAUUUUCAAAGCAUUGAAUUAAUAAGCGAUUGACACUAUUAGCUCAUAAAGAAUCAAGAUAUAAAAAUUGAUUUUAGAUUCUCGAUUCACUUGAGAGAAAAACAAGUUAUAGGGGUUGGGCCUUAUAGGCUAAAAUCGACAUGUGCCUAGAGGUAAAAUCCCAUUCGAGGAUCGAUUUAAAUCGAGGCAAGGUCUUUAGCCCAAGGCUGAAUUUUAUCUCUUGAUUUCAAUUUCAAUCUUUUUAAUUUACUUGUUUAAUUUCAAUCAUUUACUUUACUUCAAAAAAACCCCCCUUCUACUCCUCCCUUUACUCAUCACGCCUAAGCAAAGUUAAAAGCAAGAAAAUCAUCAAACUCCUAGUCCCUGUGGAAUCGACCCUUACUCUCCAUAUUCUACUUAUUCCAAUCAUUGUAUCGAGAUUAAGGCUAUUUAUUUUUGACAUCAUAACGACAGCAUGUCAAAAUUGGCGCCAUUGCCGGGGACUUCGGUAAGUUACUAAUUUAAUUUUCUUGUUUCUGAUUUAUGACCAGGCAAAAUUCGGGCACAUUUUUAGAAUUUGAUUCGGAAAUCAAAGCGCGAGCAAGAAGAAUUCACGGUCAAACACUUCGGGAUAAAAAAACUGACAACAACAAACAAAUUCCGAAGAAUCAACUAGCGCUACCAACGAAGAAUCAACGGAUUCCACCAAUCCGAUCGACGUCGAUAACACUCCCAUUGCUGAUCCAACACCUGAAGCACAACAAACAAAAGCGAUGGGCGAUCAAACAAUUCGCGAGUUAGUCGUGGCUCCUGCGAAACAACAACCCCUUUGCAUUAUAUUUCCUCAAGGCACCACCCCUUUUACUCUAAAAACGGGGUUAAUUCAUCUCUUUCCUACCUUCAAUGGCCUUCCAAGCGAGAGUCCACACACACACUUAGCCGAAUUUCAUUUGGUUUGUUCAAGCAUGAAACCUCAGGGAGUAUCCGAAGACCAAAUUAAAUUACGAGCGUUUCUUUUUUCUUUAUUCGGCAUAGCAAAAGAAUGGUUGUUUUAUUUACCGCCAAAUUCCAUUACUACUUGGGCUGAUUUGAAUCGUAUUUUUCUUGACAGGUUUUUCCCAGCAGCAAAAGCAAGAAAACUAAGGCGAAGCAUCCUUGGAAUUAAACAAAAGUAUGACGAGUCGCUUUAUGAAUAUUGGGAGCGAUUCAAGAAGCUAUGUGCGAGCUAUCCGCAACACGGAUUGAGCGAACAAAUGUUUUUGCAAUAUUUCUAUGAAGGUUUGCUUCCGAUGGAGAUGAAAAUGAUUGAUGCUGCCAGUGGAGGAGCGCUUGUCAACAUGACCCCACUCAAGCAAGGGAAUUAAUUUCGACAAUGGCAGCCAACUCUCAACAGUUUGGCGUCACGAAUGAACCUAGCCGAAGGGUUCACGAGGUAAGUACUGUUUCACUUGAAAAUAAAUUCGAUAAAUUAACUAACGUUGUUAAUUCUCUAAUUGCAGAAAAGAACGGGUCAGCCAGAGUAUGCGGAAUUUGUACGAUGCCAGACCACUCAACCGAUUGUUGGCCGACACUCUAAGAGGGGAUAGGCGAACAGGUGAAUACCGUGGGGAGUUUUUCGGGGCCACCUCAAAGGCCUUAUAACCCCUAUAGUAACACCUACAAUCCGGGAUGACGAGACCACCCGAAUUUUAGCUACGCACAAAACCAAAGGUCGAACCAAUCUUACCAACCAAGGCCGCCUCCACCACAACCAUAUCAGCCGCCAAAAAGUUCACUCGAGUCUCUUAUAGAGCAAUUGGCACAAUCCCAAGAGAAAUUUCAAGACCGAAUAGAGUCACAUUUGCAAGAAAUUGACAAACAAAUAAGUAAAUUGGUAAAAACUGUGGGCCGCUUAGAAUCGUAAGGCAAGCUUCCCUCACAAACCGAAGUGAACCCACGGGAGAACGUGAGUGCCAUCACUCUUAGGAGUGGAACAAUUGUUGAACAGUAAAUGACGCCAAUUCGAGAGAAAAACGACCCUGAAACAAGCAAAAAUGAUAAGGCAAUUGUCAAAAAAUCCACAAGUACCGAAGAAGCAAAUGACGCCAAUCCCAAGAGGAAAAUGACGCCACAACCCGAAGAAAAAUAAUGAAUCCAAUAUCUAAACCAGCACCAUCUCCUUACGCCACAGAUCUUCCUUUUUCAUCGAGAUUUAUAAAGAAAGAUAAGCAAGCUGAGGAGAAGAAAAUCCUAGGCGUUUUCGAAAAAGUCGAGAUCAACAUUCCUCUUUUAGAGGUAAUCCAGAAAGUGCCAAUGUACGCUUGUUUCCUUAAAGAACUUUGUACUAAUAAAAGAAGACUAACGGGGCAUGAGAAGGUAAAUCUCGGAGAGCACGUUUCUGCGAUUUUGACUCGACGACUUCCACUGAAGUUGAAGGACCAAGGCAUGUUCGCCAUACCUUGCAAAAUUGGCAAAGUGGGCAUAAAGAUGGCGAUGUGUGACUUGGGAGCCUCCAUUAACAUGAUGCCUCUAUCCGUGUACAAUACUCUUUCAGCCGACCCAUUGAAGGAAAUGAAGGUCAUUAUUCAAUUGGCGAAUCGUUCAAUUAUUUACCCGGAGGGAGUCUUAGAGAAUGUUUUGGUAAAGGUAAACGAAUGAAUCUUUCCGGCCGAUUUUUAUGUAAUUGACAUGAAAAACGAUCGCUCAAAAACUUCAUCCGAAAUUUUCCUUGGGCGAUCUUUUCUUAGCACCGCCAACACUAAAAUCGAUGUCCGAAGUGGAAUCCUCACAAUGGAGUUUGAUGGUGAGGUCGUUAAAUUUAAUGUUUACAAAGUGAUGCGGUAUCCUGAUGAUGUUCAAAGCAUUAAUUUUGUCGAUAUAAUUGAGCCUGCAAUUGAUGAGUUUGUUGAGACUAAUUUUGUUAAUAAAAUUUGCAGGGAAUUUGAUGAUUUCGAUGGUGAAUUCAGGGAGUUGAAACAAACUUUCUCUACUGAUUCCAUUAAUUCUAACGAAAUCACUACACCUUCAAAAACUAAAUAAUUAGCUUCGGUUUUGCAGGCUCCUCAGAUUGAACUAAAAGAAUUACCGGAUCACUUGAAGUACGUUUUUUUGGGCAACGAUGAUACACUGCUGGUUAUUGUGUCGAACAAGUUAAGUAAAGACGAGAAAAAUGACCUUGUUGAAAUACUACGUGCGUACAAAGAAGCCAUUGGGUGGACAAUUGCCGACAUCAAAGGGUUAAGUCCCUCAACGUGUAUGCAUAAGAUAAAGAUCGAGGAAGGAGCGAAACCAUCACGUGAAAGACAACGUCGACUAAAUCCGCCUAUGAUGGAAGUGGUAAAAAAGGAAAUUCAAAAGCUACUUGAUGCUGAUGUUAUCUAUCCCAUCUCGGAUAGUAGUUGGGUAAGUCCGAUACAUGUUGUGCCUAAGAAGACUAGAGUAACGGUAAUCAAAAACUUAGAAAAUGAGUUAAUUCUGACUAGAGUGCAAAAUGGAUGGCGAGUUUGUAUCGAUUAUAGGAAGUUGAACUCUUUAACUCACAAAGAUCAUUUUCCGUUACCUUUUAUUGAUCAAUUAAUAGAAAGAUUAGCCGGUAAAACUCACUACUGCUGUCUUGAUGGAUUUUCAGGUUUCUUCCAAAUUCUGAUGGUGCCUGAAGAUCAAGAAAAGACGACGUUCACAUGCCCUUUUGGAAUGUUCGCCUAUAGACGAAUGCCCUUCGGUCUAUGCAAUGCGCUAGCCACAUUUCAACAUUGCAUGCUUAGUAUCUUUUCUGAUUUUAUCGAGAAGGGUAUAGAGGUAUUCAUGGACGACUUCACUAUUUAUGGUAACACCUUUACCGAAUGCCUCUUUAAUUUAUCAAAUGUUUUGAAGCGAUGCCUAGAAUACAACCUUGUUUUAAACUAUGAAAAAUGCCAUUUUAUGGUCGACAAAGGGUUGAUUCUAGGACAUAUAGUUUCUUCUAACGGUAUUGCGGUCGAUGAAGCCAAGACUGAUGUUAUUCGCUCACUUCCUUACCCGACUACGGUUAGGGAAGUACGUUCUUUUCUUGGCCAUGCAGUAUUUUACCGAUGAUUUAUCAAGGACUUCUCAAAGAUCGCACAACCGUUAUGCAGUCUUCUUCACAAGGACCAAAUCUUUGAUUUCAAUCCAGAAUGCAAAAAGUCGUGGAACACCUUAAUGGAAAAGCUAAUUACGGCUCCAAUUGUACAACCACUGAAUUGGGAAUAUCCAUUCGAGUUGAUGUGUGAUGCCUCCGACACUAGCGUUGGCGCGGUUCUUGAUCAGAAAAUUGACAAAGAGCCGCACGUCAUUGCCUAUGCGUCUUGAACUUUAGACUCGGCUCAGAGAAAUUAUUCCACUAUCGAAAAAGAGCUUCUUGCUAUAGUAUUUGCUUUAGAAAAAUUUCGUUCGUAUUUAUUAGGUACUAAUAUUAUCAUUUUUCUGAUCAUGCAGCAUUACAGUACCUGAUGAGCAAGAAGAAAGCGAAGCCGAGGCUAAUUCAUUGGAUUCUACUUCUCCAAGAAUUUAAUUUGGAAUUAAAGGAUAAGAAGGGACGAGAAAAUCUGGUGGCCGAUCACUUGAGCCGAAUUCCCAUCACUUCGUCUGAUCCGCCGAUCAAAGAGGAGUUUCCCGAAGAGCACUUAAUGUUGGCGCAACAAGGGAAUUUACCAUGGUUUGCUGACAUGGUAAAUUACUUAGCUCCGGGUAAAAUUCCGAUGCACCUACUAAGAGUGGUAAUUAAUAAAAUUAAGAGGGAGUCUCGAUAUUACAUUUGGGAUGACCCUUAUCUUUGGAAACACUACUCCGAUCAGGCAAUUCGGCGAUGUGUUGCCGAAGAAGAGGUAAAUUUGAUCCUUAAUUUCUGUCAUUCGUAUGCAUGUGGCGGUCAUUUUGGACCGAAGCGAACUGCUCAUAAAAUAUUAGAAUGCGGUUUCUUUUGGCCGAAUAUAUUUAGAGAUGUUUAUUUUUAUUGUAAAUCAUGCGAAAAGUGCCAAAGAGCAGGUAAUUUAAGUCGUAGAAAUGAAAUGCCUAUGAAUCCAAUCUAUGUAUGCGAAAUUUUUGAUGUGUGGGGUCUUGAUUAUAUGGGACCUUUUGUGUUAUCUUACGGUAACACUUAUAUAAUUCUUGUAGUUGAUUAUGUUUCAAAGUGGGUCGAAGUAAAAGCAACCCAUAAUAAUGAUGCGAGAACUACUGUUAAUUUUCUAAAGAAUUUUAUUUUUUCCAGGUUUGGCACAGGAACCCAUUUCAUCAAUCGAAUUCUUGAAGCACUCAUGAAAAAAUUUGGCGUGACACAAAGAAUUGCCACGGCUUACCAUCCGUAAACAAAUGGGUAAGCGGAGGUGUCAAAUCGUGAAAUUAAGGCGAUUCUGGGAAAGAUUGUCAAACCGGACCGCAAGGAUUGGAGUUUAAAGUUAUCUGAAACACUUUGGGCGUAUAGAACGGCUUACAAAGGGUCGAUCGGAAUAUCUCCAUACAACCUAGUUUUUGGUAAACUGUGCCACUUACUGGUUGAACUUGAGCAUCAUGCUUAUUGGGCGGUGAAGCAAUGUAACAUGGAUAUGGAAGCGAUCGGAGAAGCACGAAAAUUACACAUUCAAGAGUUAGAAGAAAUCCGACGAAAUGCUUACGAUAAUGCCAAAAUCUAUAAAGAAAAGACGAAAGAACUCCACGAUCGAAGGAUAUCCUUUAAAUCAUUUAAUGUUAAUCAAAAGGUUUUGCUAUUCAAUUCUAAAAUUAAGCUUUUUGCAGGAAAACUUCGAUCAAAGUGGCUCGCACCAUUCAAGGUAACUCAAAUUUUUCCUUAUGGCGCCGUGGAAAUAGAAGACGACUCAGGAGUUCAAUUCAAGGUUAACGGGCAAAGAUUGAAGCCAUAUUAUGAGAAUGCCCCUGUCAGAUUGGUUGAAGAGAUUGAAUUGGAAGAACCCAAGCUUUGAAAUUAGGUCUCGAGCUAAUGACGUUAAACAAUGGCGCUUAAUGGGAGACAACCCAUUUCGUUUUCAUUUCUUGUUUUCAAUCUUUAGUUUUUUUAUUUAUUAAUUUCACUUAAUUAUUUUUAAUUCUUUGAUUCAAAUUUUGUAGGUACCCCGGGCAUUUUAAUUCGAACAAAGCUGAAGCAAAGAAUUGGUUCAAUUAAAGCAUAAAUUAACCGAAUUCAAGACAAAUUUCUAGCAAAUAUCGUGAAAGGGCUGCAGUAGGGUGCCCCAUGUUCUAUACGCACCAUAACAUUAAGUGAGGGGGAGCGUUCGGCGCACAUUAGAAGCAAGAAUAGGGCCGGCGCAAGAUAGCACAACCCAAACCCACCUUUUAUCCCCUUGCCGCCAACACCCCCACAUUAAUCAGUGAGUAUUUUCACCCUCUCUUGUGCAUUUUAAUUUUUAUUGUUCAUAUUGGGGCAAUAUGAUCUUAAGUGCGGGGGGAUUAGACUCAAGUUAACUCUUGUUUAUUCGUUGAUUUGAAAUUGAGUAUUUCUUGAUUAUGACUGUUGACUUAUCUUGGUUGCCAAUCUCUAAUUUAUUGAGUUUCUUUGUGUUUCUUUGUGAAUUCAAGCAUGUUCUUGUUGAAUUUAGGAUUCAAGAUAGCAUGGCAUGAUUAAUUUGAGUAAAUUUUUCUUGGUAAUUUCAUGCAUUCAUUGAUCGAAUUGGAUGCAUGGCUUAGUUCACAAGCCUUUCAUGUGAGUUUUUGAACCUAUUGAGCAUAUAUUUUAUUCUUGCUCUUUGUUUUAAUUGAGUAUGCCGAACCAAUUGAUUCCAUUCUAGAACUUGUGACUCGAUGCUUGUUGAGAUUACAUUGUUGAUUAUGAUGCUAUGAUGUGAUAGAGGCAUUAGGAUUUAACCCAUUUCUUUUCCCAAAUAAAACAGCCUACCUUGUUUUACCCUUUAGUGAACCAAUUUGAGCCUUAUCCUUUUCUUUGAUUCACCACACUUAAAACCCGAGGCUAUUUUAUUUUUACCAUCUUUUUGCUACCCUUUUUCAUGACAAGGUGAUAUUGUUUCGGGAAAGAAAAAAACAGGAAAAAGUUGUUCGAAAUAACAGUCCAGAUUCGAACAAAACCAGCUAGGAAUUAACCCUGUUCGAACAGAAGUUCUUUCAAACAGUGUAGUUUUUCGUGCAGAUUUUUUUAACAGUGUAGUUUUGAUUUGAAUGAGCAGGAAAACAGUUUGGUUUGAGGAGAAAAGAAGAAAAAAGAAUGUUUCAAAAAAGGGGAAGAAAGAAAAAGAAGAAAAGAGAGUGAAUUGUGCUCUGAUUGAAUUUCUUGUUUCUCCUACCUUCAAUUUUUCUUUGAAUAAUUUUCGGAAUAAUUUUUUCAUUGUCUUGGAAUUUUGAAACUUCAUUUUUCAACCUUUAUCCUACCCGAACUUAGCCCCAUUACAACCCGUUUGAAGUCCUCUUGAUUGUUGCAUCAUUUUCAUACUAAGUAGUGGAUAUGAGAUUUAGUUACAAGCCUAUGGUAAUGCAUUGGUUAGUUCAGGCUUGAGCGAUUCUUUCACCCGAAACACUUGAGUGGAAUGAGUGAACCCAUGAGAGGAACUAAGUCUUGAAUUCUUUGGAAUUGAUGAUUGAUUGAAAUGCCAUGGUUGAUUUGCACUUAAUUGAUUAUAUCUUGCUUGAUUGAGCUUGAAUUUCGACAUUUGCUUGGUUGGGUUUGCUUAGAAACCUUGGAAAUUUUCUAAAAUUGGAAUUGGCAAUUUUGAGUUUUUGCAUGAUAAUUGAGAAAUGCUUGAGGGCAAGCAUUGAGUAAGUGAGGGGGAAUUUGAUUAGUGUUUAAAUUAUACAUUAUUUCAUGGUUGAUUACUCCUUUAUUAGCUAUUUUGAGUUGCUAACUUGGCAUUUUUUAUUCCUUUUUGAUUCAGGACAUUGAAUUGCAGAAAUUGAGCUUAAGUCGACAAAAUUGAGUAAUUUUGGAUUUUCUGGAUACAUGGCCGACUUACUGGGCGUGACUUGGGGCUUGAUGUCGCUGACGUGGCGUCCAAUCAGCAAUUUCUAGAAGGUCUAGUCAGCAAUUUCUAAAAGGCAUUUGGCAUGGAGAAAGAGACUUAACCGCCUAUUUAAAUUCAAAUUAGGAUUAAGAUUUAUAUUUAUUUGUUUAUUUAGGAUUUUUCUCUUAAUUUUGAAUACUACUUUUAAGGAUUUUUUAGGACUAUAAAUACCCCAUUGGGGUAAGCCUCAAAGGGGGGGAUCUAUCCAUCGAGCAUUCUUCACUUUGCAUUUAUUAAACUCUUUGUUUCUUUCUAGUUUUAAUAAAUUUCUCCUUUUGAUUUAGUUUUUACUUUAUUUUCUUAAAAUGCUAAGUAUGGUCUCUACCAUGCUUAGCUAAGUUUUCCAUAGCCAAAGGCUAAAGCGAUGACUCGAUUCUAAGUCGUGAGAAUCGAAAAGCACUUCAUACCCUUGAGGGUUACAUUUUCAGUUUUCAAGAAUCAAUGAUUGGUAAUUGACCAUCCUUUUAUAAUCUAAUCGGUUUGAUUUCAAAAAGUGCACGUUGGAAUAAAAUUCGGUUUUGAUUAACAGUUGGGAGGAAGGAUCAGCCUGUGGCAUUUCGACUUCUUGUGAACAUGCUUAGCGGCACUAAGGGAAACUGAAAUCGGGUUAGAUUCUUAUUUGAGACGACAGAAUCCGAGUCGGGUUUUUCCAGAUUUUCAAAGCAUUGAAUUAAUAAGCGAUUGACGCUAUUAGCUCAUAAAGAAUCAAGAUCUAAAAAUUGAUUUUAGAUUCUCGAUUCACUUGAGAGAAAAACAAGUUAUAGGGGUUGGGCCAU
rnacentral:lncRNA from 1 species